UUUUCUUUUUCAUUUUCCAUUUUCCAUGUGGGUUUUGAGGAUGAACACAGGGAGCAUUGGAUUUUGUAGCAGAAACAUUCUGGUUAGCUCCCUCUAACGCUCUGAAUUUUCUUUCUAACUCCCUAUUUCGGAUGCAUUGUUUCUGUUGAAUAAUCAUUUUCCUUUGUUUUCUUUUUGGAAAUAAUGGAAAAGGGCACAUAUAAGUUUUGUUUACUUAUUUGGAGGGGAAAGUUGAAGUGAGCUACAACAACCCUCAACAAGACACUAGCCAAGAUGCAAGCACUGACUAAAAUGGUGUAGAUAUCAAUUAUAAAGCCGUUGAUUCAAUGGGUUGGUUUGUAUGGUUUUUGAUAAUUAGUGCCUAGAAAAAGUUGCUGCCCUCUGACAACUACAAAAUGACUCCCAAGGAUUGGAUUUAGACUGUAGAACCCUAACCCUGGUUACCAACCUCACUUCCCUUUCCAAUUUGAUGCUUGUUCAUUGCUUCCAACACCCACCUUUACAUUCACAGGCCCCCUUUAAAACUCAACCAUCUUGAUGACUGAGUGAAAUGAACACAUUGUUUGUGUGCUCUUUUAGAUAACUAUUAUAAUCCAUAGUUUGUUUAUAACCAAUAAUCCCCUUCAUCAAUGAUCAGAUGAUCCUUGUUAAAAUGGUUUCCAUGAGGCAAAGCAGAGCCACAUGACAUCUAUGCUCUUAAUCUUCAUACUCAUAGCUAGAUCCCAUUCAUCAUCUCUUGCCAUCUUUUCUUCUUCAGUUUGAACAUAAGUGAUCCACCACCCCAGAAUUUCAAGCAGCCUUUUACUGCUGUAGAGUCCUGAGCACACUCGCAUCCUUCAAAUCUCCCCUCUUUUGCUUUUUCUGCCUCUUCUGCCAAUCAGAGCUGGGUAUCUCUCUUUCUUACAACCAGCCAGAAAAAUCUCCAUUUUUCUUCUACCCUAACUCCUUCCAUCCUUCAAAAGUUAAUCCUGAUAUGCCAGAAAAAAAGAGUGAUGGUUGUUGAUCUCUAAGCCAAACCAUAAAAACUAUGUUCAAACCACAAUCCAUACAAACUUUAGUUAUCAUCAUUGUCUCAGCAUACUUUACUUUUCUUUUACUGAGAAGCUUUAUUAGAUAUUCUUACCUUUCAUUAAGCUCGUAAUUUUCCCUUUAUUGACUUCUCCCCCCUGGUUCAGAGAUACUCAAUUCAUUAAUGGUGCAAUGUAUGCACGAAUUAACAUCAGAAAAUUUUCCAAAGCUUUCUUCGGAUGCAACCCAUCCUGUAUGUGCCACCAAAUGUCACUGAAUAAAAUUUCUAACUGAAAUAGAAUCAUACCUAAGUUUACUAUAUCCAUUUUCAUAGACAUUAGGCAGUGACCUCUGUAUCUCUCUUAGCAGUUCCUCCUCCUGGGAUACUUGUAGGAAAGCCUUCAUUAAAAAUUUUGAGUAGUUUUGGUUGUCUCUACCAUAAGGUUGAGUUGUCAUCAUACAUCAAGUGACUCCAAUUGAAUACCACAAGCUUAAGAGGUUCGGGAAAGCACAUAGUUAUUAACUAGAGGAAUAAGAGGACAAUAAAACUAUACAUUCAAUAUACAUAGAGAAUGAUUGAGACUCUAGCUGUCCUAUCCAGUAAAUCUAAUGAGUGGAGAAGAAGAGAAAGAAAUUUCAGGACAACAAACUACAUUAUUGUGCUCUUCAUGUGUUUGGGGCUAUAGAUUCAAACUCUCUUUUUUUAAGUUUCAAUUCGCACUUAGAAUCCCCAAGGAUGGUUUGGCAUUUUGAAAGACUCAUAAUAUAUGAGAACUCUGUCUAAAACAUGUAUUCCUUAUAUUCUCUAUUCAAUAAAUCUUCACUUCAUAUCUGUUUGAUCAAAACUUUGCAGUUGUCUUUAUACAUGCUCUGUAAUUCAUUGGAUGGACUCUGUUUUUUUAACAAGAAGCAUAAUAAAGGUAGAAUUUGAACUUAAUCUUAACUUUGAUCUAAAAUAUUCAUUUAUAUAUAUGCCGAAGUCACUACAAAACUUCCCAUCUUUCUUGUAAAGAAUCAGUGCAAAUCCAUCUGGUUUAGGUGCAAUAUCACCCUUUAGGUCUAAAAUAACCUUAACAAUUUCCUCUUCACCAAAGGUCUCUCACCCCUUUCUCUCAACGUAACUGACCAAAAAUGACACCAUCUAGACCAUGUAUACCUCCAUGCUCCCAAAAUACAGAUUCUGAUAAAAUCUUACCACUGAGUCACUGGAUCUCUUCCUCAUAAACCACACUUCAUAAAUUUGAUAUGGAAUGGAAGUUUGCUCUCCUUCAAGCAUUUUCCAUUUGAUGAGCUUUAUAUUUAUUUCCUAUUCUUCUAAACUGCUGUAUAUUCUUGCUUCUAACUAAAAAGAUUUCAAAUUAUGAUAUUGGAGAUGUCUGUUUGCAUACAAAUGUUUUGCAUUCAGCUUACAUAAAUAACACAGCAUGCUUCUUCGUGCUUUAUUGUAAUCUUCUCUGCGCUAUGCGCCUGAUAAGAGUGAAUGCACACUCAAGAGAGUAGCCUGAAAGAUAACCUUAAGUUAACCAUCAUAUCUUUCCCACUGCCUAUCAACCUUAAUGGUAAAAGCUAUUUCCUCUCAUGUUAUUAUCCUUGUUUAUGGUUCAUAGGAUGGCAUUUCCUUUCUCGGUGAGGCACUCCUACCUGACAUUUACACUGCCCACAUUAUUUAUUCAACCAAAAGUGUCAAUCAACCAUCUUGCAUGGAUGAUAAAUUACGUCAGUUUCCAUGGUGGCAUUCUUAGUGUAGCUAGAUAUCAUUUGAAGCAUAUCAUUUUCUUUUGAUAAAAAAAAGAAUGGCAUUUAAAGCUCCAGAGGUUUAGCAAUGUGAAAGAGACAGAGAGCUUUACUCACAUUUCUUAGAUUCUAAUUAAAAACACAAUCCAAAGCUGAGAAAUAAUUGAUGUCUAGUAUCUUGGACAGGGAAUGCCACUUUAAGUUGUUUGAUCUCCACUUGGAAACUGGAAAUAAAUGUGUUUAAAAUGAAAUUUUGGAAAAGAGGGAAAUUGAGCAGAAAUGAAGUAAAAGAACAAAGAAUGGAAAUUUUUUGUUGAGAAUUCCAGGUGUGCUACAAGAUGUGGGAUGUUCCCUAGAAGUGGUUAAGGAAUCAAGGUAAGUUGAACAGUUCAUUGUCAUGAUCCUGCCAUGAAGUACAGAGUUCAAAAGGACAUGAACACACAAUACCUGGACUUGGAUUAGUGCCUAUAUGCAUAACUUGUUUAACUAAAUAUGGCUGACCGAAGUCAUAGAUAUGAUUAAGUGAUAAAAGAAAAAUGUUAGGCACCUGUGGUUACAUUAUUUUGGAUCUGAACUCCAUAAAAAGGGACUCAAAACUAGGCGGUCCUGAGCUCAUUAAUUGGAAUAGACUGAUGGCUGCCCUUCAUAUUAGUUUCACACUGACUUCAUCCAGUGCCUUCUUGAGCCACUUCAUCCUAUUCCAGUUCAGUUGUCUUUUCAUGUAUUGGGUCCCUUCGAAUGGGGACCAAGGCCAAUAAGAUCAUCUGUAUAAAUUAUUGACCUCAUACCAUUCUACCUCAAACUCUUGAUAUCUGUCAAUUUCCUCUUCAUAAAUGAAACCAGAGUCACUUGAAGGUGUUCCAUUUUCUUAUCUAUACCCAAUGUUAUGAUAUGGUCUCUUUGAAGGUCAAUCCUUUGGGUUCUCCCCUUAUUCACUGGCAGAGCCAGCAGCAGGGGCACAUGCACUCCCCCGCCCCCUCAAUUUCUUUUUCCCACAAAAAAAUCUCAUAUAUAUAAUAAGAGGUUUUCAAAUAAUAAAAAAAUGAAAUAGAAACUUUGUACUCCACAAAAGAUAGAUUUAAUUUUGAUUUUUUAAAAUUUAAUUUGAUUUUUGUCCUUCAUACAACAUCUUAAUUUAUUUUUCCGUCUUUCUAUCAUAUGUAAAAUUUUGAUUUUGUUGUAACUUUUCUAAUAAUAUUAAAUUUUUGGUAACUUUGUAUUUGACCUUUUAUUAAAUAAUUGUUUUAAAUUGUGUGUUCUCAUCAAUUUUUUUAUUUUUAUUUUUAUUUAUUUAUUUUUUAUUUUGAGACUUAAUUAAAUAAUGAUUAAUUUCGAAAUAAAUUAAGUAACUAUAUUAGAUUAUGUGCUAUUUAAUAAUUCAUAUUAAGGGAAUUUAUAUUUAAAUUUAAAAUCUUAUUUGAUUGAUAGUGACAUUUUAAUAUUAUCAUAUAAUAGAAAAUUUUAAGUAAAAAAUCUCGUUACUUUUAGUUGAUUGUAUUCUUAGUUAUUUGAAAAAAAAAAUUAUUAAAUUCCUUGACAAAUUUUAAUUUUUUUUUGGCAGCAAAAAUUACUAAAAUUACUGGUUAUCUUAUUCUCAUAUUUCUUACUAUUUUCUAGUCUUUUGAAAAUUUCCUUUGAAUUAUUAUUAUUUUCCUUUUGUAAAAUCUAAGAAUUAAUUUUUUUUUUAUCAAUAUAUAUAUAUGGAGAGAGAGAGAGAGAGAGAGAAUCAUUGUGCAUAUUUCAACCUUGCCCCCCUCUAAUCAAAAUCUUUGGCUCUGCCACUGCCCUUAUUGAUUGAUGAAGUUGCAUAUAACUCUUGACUUAUUAAAAGAUUUGAAGAAUUGAGGUAUAGCUUACCUCGAAAAACAUUGCUUGUAUUGCAACUCUCAGAAAUACUGCAUUAGCCCUCAUGAAUGUCAAAGGAUCCUGCUCAUGAGGGAAAAAUAAUCAGGAGCCCAAACAAUAUUCAAAAGGCCCCUGGAUUGAUGAAACACACAGUUCUGGCCAGCAACAAUCAUUCUCAUCUAGGUUGUAGUUAGAUUUUAUAUACUUACCAAGUAUGGGAGAUAACUUGUUAUAUAUACACGGUUGACUCCCAAAGAAAGGGAGACCUUUUUACUGAUUCUCUUUUGUGAUAUUCUGUUUUUAUAUCCAAUUACAACUUAAACCUAAAACUUGAGUGUUUGUGAACAUAAGGUCCUCAGCUAUGAAUGAGAAGAGGCUAUGCUUAUUGCCCUCUUAAUUUAUAAGGAAGGGAGGUCUAUAAUAUGGAUUAGGGUGUUAUGACCAAGAAUCUGACUGGUAAGCCCCUCCCCUGAUUCUGUUUAGACUCCCAUAAUGAAGAAAAGUACACGCUUUGUCUCCUGUUCCUAUUUUGUGGAGUAAAAUAUAGUUGAUGAAUGGCCUAUUUUAUUAGAGCAUCUCAAAAUAGGGAACUGGGUAUCUUGUGUGAUUCAGAGCCUUAUCUAUAAAGCUGUUUUGAGCUUCUACUCUUGGUUGGCUUCCUUCAACUUGAUGCUUUUACUUGUGGGGUAGUUCCUUCCCCACUCAAUUCUCUUGGUUGAAAUGCUUGGAGAAGUACCAAAACAUGGUACUUGUCAGUCCAAGGAAACUUGCAAGAAUUCUUAGUACUAUAAUAGCCCUUAAGGAGAGAUAGAUUCUCCUUCUUCAGGCAACAAUAUUAUUGCAGUUCAAUGUGUGCUGUUGGAGCUAGCCUUCUGCUUGUAAGGGUCAUUUUUGAAUCUUGAUCAGGCCAAGGAUCUCACAAAGUAAUCAAAUCUCAUUAGCUCUAAGUACACUGGGAUCAUCAUGUGGCCUAUGUCCAGUUGCGUGAUGUGUUGGUGGGUCAACUACGAACGAGUGGUUAUAUCUCUUUGAAAAUUAUCCAUGGACUUGUGCAUUUGAUCAUACAAAUACUGAAUCAUUGCACAAAAUAAUUUUAUUACCUGGCCCAUAUUGUAAGCUUUUUAGUCCUUUGCCCAUAAAGUUCUGUCCUGGUUAAAGCAGCACAGCAGUCUAAGAUCUCAGAAAGGGACACUGAGUUGAAAUCAGGAAUCAAUUCUUUCCUAUUGAUUGUCAACUAGGGCAUAAGAAAAGGUGAAACAAAGACACCAAACUUCAUAAUAUAAGAACACAUGCAGGGUUUCAGAGACCCAACUAAAUAUGGGUCCCAUCCAAAGGAAUUUAGAAUUCUUAUCAAUGACUUAGGUGGUGUUUGUUUUUUUGGCUUUUUGCUGAAAAUCAUUUAGUUUUAGAAUUUAGGUUGUUUGUUUUUUUACUUUUUCAUAACUUAUUAUAAACUUUUUACUAAAUAGAAAAAGCCAAAAUAUGUGGUUUUUUCUAAAUAGAAAAAAUAACACAAUGGUUUUUUUUACUUUUUAAUACUUAAUAAAAAUAAAAUACUAUAAAAACAAACAACCUAAUAUUUAAUACUAUUAAGUAUUAAGGUUCUAUUUAGAAUUAAGUAAAAAAACAAACACCACCUUAGCCUUUCAGUGUUCACCCACUGAUUUGUUGAACUGUUUUGAACCUCUUCUCAGAUUUUUGCUAUCAUAAAUUGAACAGUUUGAUGAUGACAGUUAUUUUCUUUUAAGGUGGCAAAUCUAGUCCCAACCUGAAAACCCGUGUACACCACCUUGAAUUUGCCAGGCUUGUCUGCCAUGAUAUGAAGUGCUAAUAGCAUUAGGCCAAUACUCUCUGGACUUUGGUUGGUUAUGGUAAUCUUUCAUGUUUUCCACGUCAAUCUAAAUCCAUUAAGAAAACCUGACUUACUUCCAGGUUUAUCUAUCUGUGGAUUAUUUUCUGUUUGUUUCCUGUGAUUUGAAAACUUUAAAAUUGGGGGAGAGUAGGCGUUACUCUGCAUGUAGUUCAUAAAUACUCCAAAAGCUAAAACUGCAACUGUUGGCCCUAUUUGUUGUUUUGCAUUUGCUUAUAUCAAAUAUCAACCCUUUCUUCUUCACAUGAAAAAAACAAAGAUUUUGAAAACCGAAGAAACUGAUAAGAUGACAAACUUCCUUAGCUGUAAGAUGCAGUUGCUCAAUUGAACCCCAUUUUGCCAUUAGAUGAAGAUGAAUAAAGUAGUGAGGAUGCAGAAAAGCUUGUGUUAUUGCUUUUUGGGUACAAGCUUUGUGUUGUUGGCGUUGAUGAUGACGUUGCAGGAGCUCCACUGGAGCUCUUAUUGUCUUGAAUAUCUGUUGCUGGAAAUCCCUUGAGGAGCACAUCAACCUUUGCAUAGUCCUCUCUCUCAUGUUUGAUCUCCUUGAGCAUUGCUGCCACGUCUUUCAUAGUAGGCCUUUCAUCAGGGGAUGAGUUUACACAUAGUAAGGCUAUGCCUAAUGCUUGCAUCAUUUCAUCCACUUCAGAUUCAGGUCGACAUAGUAAACUUGGGUCAAGGACUUCAACUCCUCCCUUCUUCUGUCUCACCCAGUCCACCACGUGGAGACCAUCUGGUAUUGUUGGGUCAAUUGGUUGCUUCCCUGUCAAAACUUCCAAUACAACAAUUCCGUAGCUGUAAACAUCGCUCUUCUCUGUGAUCUUCAUCAUGUAACCAUAUUCUGAAAAAAUAUUAAAAAUUAGCAGGAACAUAGCUAGAAUAAUUUUUAAUUUGUUAAUCUGAUAGCCCGGUUUAUUUAAGAUCAUGAAAAUGUUAGAAGCCUGCAGAGAUGGUUUGAAUGUGGUCUAUGGCAUUAAAGGGAAAAAAUACCUACCAGGAGCAAUAUAUCCAUAGGAGCCAGCAACCGUAUUAGAGGAUCUAGCAAAAUCUGCAUCAUUGACGAGCUUAGCAAGGCCAAAAUCAGCAAUAUAAGGCUCAAAUUCAAGACCAAUGAGAAUGUUGUUGGCCUUGAUGUCCCUGUGGACAAUGGGCGGAACACAAUCAUGGUGUAAAUAAGCAAGGCCUUGUGCCGCCCCCAACAAAAUCUGGUACCGUAGUCCCCAUUCGAGGGAAUUUCCUGCCUUCUCAUGUAGGAGACUACCCAAGCUUCCAUUGGGCAUGUAAUCAUACAUGAGCAAUCUUGUGUUUCGAUUCCAACAACAGCCCAAGAACCUAACAAUGUUCUUAUGACGGAUUGAGCCAAGAGUCUUAACCUCUGCAGAGAAGGAAUCACGAACUCCAGAUUUAUCAUUGUCACCAUUGGCCGCUCCCAUUGCUGUUGGCCAAAGCUUCUUUACUGCAAUAACUUCACCAUUGUCCAUGUCAGCACGAUACACAACCCCGGAACAACCUUUUCCUAUCACAUUGGAAUCCACCAGGCAUCUCAAUAUUUGCUCCACAGAGAAAUUUAACUUCUGGAAUGGAGUGAAUUGCCAUGGCCAUGAAUCUCCUCCCAACUCUGAAUCAUCAUCUCCUCUGAUGGUUGUUCGUGCCCGAAUCACUGCAAUUGUUCCCAUGAUGACCAGUGCCACUGUCAUUGUUAUCAGCAAUGCAAUGGCUAGUUUGAGUUUCCGCGACUGCCUUACGUUAUCUUUAUUUCUUGUUAAACCAGUCACAUCAUUCAAGAAGCAUGAGUCCCUGCCCCAAGAGCAAAGCCCUUGGUUUCCAGCUAGGUCUAUGGCUGGUAACUGUCGGAAGAGCUUGUUGUCUGGAAGAUAACCAGUGAAAUUAUUGUAAGAGAUGUUUAGAGAAACAAGAUUGUCAAGCUUGGCGAGCGGAAUCAAAUUCCCCUCAAGCUUGUUGUGCGAAAGAUCCAGUAUGGAAAGCUUGUUGAGUGCAGAUAUUUGAGUUGGGAUUGGCCCAGUGAGCCCAUUGCAACUGAGGUUGAGAGCAAUCUCCAGGGCCUCAAUCUGAGAAAGUUCCAUGGGUAUGCUGCCAAAGAGCUCAUUGCUGCUGAGAUCAAGCAAUUGGAGACUUGAACAGAGGCCCAGUGAAGGAGGUAUUGAUCCAGAUAAAGAAUUUCUGCUUAGAAUGAGCUUGUUUAAUGAAACUAGACGACCAAAACUUGCUGGAAUCUGGCCCGUUAAUCGGUUCACUGAAACAUCCAAGACUUGGAGACCAGAUAGAGAGGACAGUGAAUUAGGCAGGGGCCCUUCUAGAAUAUUGUUGCUGAGGUCUACCAUCUGCAAUUCUGUGCAACUUUCAAUCUCAUCUGGCACUGACCCUGAAAGGCGAUUUCUAGACAGAUCAAGAAAAUUUAAGUUCUUGAGUCCACCAAUUUGUCUUGGGAUCCCACCGGUAAUCCGGUUGUUUCCAAGCCGCAUCCGCACAAGAGAACUGCAAUUACCAAUUUCUGGAGGUAUGGUACCCGAAAUAUCAUUGGAAAUCAAGAGCAGUUUUGUGAGGUUUUGAAGCUGAAACAAGCCAGAAGGAAUGGUACCAGUAAGCGAAUUGUGAGACAAGUCCAGUACUUGGAGGUUUCUACAAUUAGCCAAAGUAGAAGGAAUGCUUCCUUCCAGCUGGUUGUCCCAAGCAAAGAAAACCCCAAGCUUUGACAACUUCCCAAGCUCUGGUGGGAUCAAACCUGAUAUCUGAUUUGUGUCGAGUUGUAACUGCAUAAGAUUCCUUGCAUUUGAGAGAACUGAAGGUAUUGAACCAGAGACAUUGUUAUUGCUAAUCAUGAACUCUUGAAGCUCUGAAAGGUCCCCAAGAGAUGGUGGUAUGGUUCCAGAUAAAGAAUUCAAAGAGAGAUCAAUCAUUUGCAAGCUACUACAAUUCCCAAUCUCUUCUGGGAUGACACCAACGAGAGUAUUCUGCCAUAGCAAGAGGGUUUGAAGCUUCUGAAGCUUACCAAGCUCUGGCGGAACUGAACCAGAGAGACUGUUUUCAUAAAGGUAUAAAUUUACAAGCUCAGAACAGUUACCUAUAUCAGGAGGAAUUUCACCAGACAGCAUAGUAGUAUAUAUGGACAAUGUCUGAAGUCUGCUAAGCUUACCCAAUGAGGCGGGUAAGGAUCCUGAAACUUGGGUAUCAGCCAGCCCCAGCACAGUCAGGUUGCUGCAUUCUCCGAGCUCUGCAGGGAUUUUCCCAGUAAUUUCUUUGUUCCCUCCGGCACGUAUAACUUCCAGAUUAGACAACUUCCCUAAAUCUGGUGGAAUAUUUCCUCCAAGACGAUUAUCAAAGAGGAGGAGAUUCCUAAGAUUAAGGCAGUUGCUAAGCUCAACUGGGAUUUUCCCAGUGAGCUGAUUGGAAUUCAAAACCAAGUCCUCAAGCUUCUGAAGCUUACCUAGGCUUGCUGGGAUGGUACCAACAAGACUGUUGGAACUAAGGUCGAUGAUUCUAAGUGCCGUGCAGCCAACGAUCUCAGGAGGGAUGGUUCCAGUAAUAUUGGCAUCUGAAAUGACGAGCUUCUGAAGAAAUUGGAAGGAAGAGAGAUUUGAUGGUAUAGGGAGCUCGAGAUGGACAGACUGUAUAUUGAUUUCGGUUACAAAACCUCGGGGAGAGCAAACUAUGGAAGUCCAGUUACAAGGGGUGGCGUCAUUUAUGUUCCAGUCUGGUAAAGAUGAGGUGGCUGGUGAAGGGGUGCUAUGCAGCCACGAGAAGAGAAGAAAGGCCUCAUGGUUGUCAACGGCGAAGACGGGGGCUGUGAGAAGACCAAGGAAGAAGAAGGAAAGGAAGAGAGGUGGCGGAGUGACCAAGAAUGAUGAGAAGUUGUAGGGUUGCCUCGAGCUGGGCAUCGACAUUUGCCUCAAUUUCCAAACCUUUCUUCUCGGGUUUGCAUCAUUGGGUUCUGCUUCCUCUCUCUCCCUUCUCUCUGUUCUCUCUUUGCUUGCUUUCAACUCAAAACUCAAAAACACACACUUCAUAGUCUUCUAUCACAGACAAACACACAAGAAAAGGAAAUGAAUGUGAUAAAAGAAACGAAAAAACAAAGGAAGGAAUGCCUAGAGAUGAGCAGCAGCUGUUGCAGCACCACCACCUCCACAUGGGAUGCUCACUCUCAAAUCUCAAUGGAAUAGAAUAAGGCAAGGGCUGAUACAUGGGGUCACGCGGAGGAGAUGUGAGUCACCACCUGUCCAUGCCUUCACACGCAUCGUUUGCUUGAUUUAGUUAAUUAUAGUUUUUCCUUUUUUCUCUUCCCUUUGCUCUCUUUGUAAACAAAGGGAGAUAGUGACGGCAGUUGAGCUCCUACCUCCAACUCACUGCUUGCUCUCUUUUGUCUGCCUUUAUUUGAAAUCAUGCCAUCAAACACCUCUCAUUUCUACUUUUUAUUUCUCAGCUUCGAACUACCCUCCUCCACUUAUUUAUUAAUAUAAAAAUAAAAAAUUGAACGUUAUUUUUUGUAAACAUCUUAUAUUGCCUUAUACAAUAAGACACUGUUUAUUGAAAAUCCCAAUCAAGUAUAAUGUGAACAAACCCAUUUAAAUUUGAUGUGUUUAAUUGAGCCCACCGGCAUUGCAUGCGGAUUUCAUCAUAUUAUCAGAGAUGGUGAGCAAGGUUUUGAGUCGCCCCACUGACAUCUAGCAGCCCAUAAUACGGAUUUCAUCGUAUUAUCAAAACAGCUGCCACUUCCAAACUUAAUUUAAAAUCUCAUUGGAGCUGAAAAUUUUGCAACAUCUCCUGACAUUAGGUGUAGUGUGUUGAAGAUGAUGACGGAUUAUGAAUUCCGCAAGCUGGCGCCUUGCCAGGCCAUGCCCAGAAGGCGUGGUUUAUUAGUCAUGGCAGGGUAGGUUAUUUUAUUUGUUAAAACUUUAUGGUGGUGAUUGGUGGCGCGUAUGCAUGCACGCAUAUGAAGCAGAGGUGGUAGUGCCACGCUCCCGUGUUCUUGAGCUAAUGAAUCAUCCAGAGCAUCCUUCGGGAGAAGAGCUUUGGUUGAGGUCGACAUUGGAUCCAAUGGCAUUUGGUUUUUUUCUAUCCACCCUGAAAUAUGUGAUUAUUUUACUCUAUUUGCUCUCAAGAAUUAAAGACUUUUAGUUGGGAAUCACUAUUGUUUAUUUGAUAUGCCACAUGGACCAAAGUGUAUAUUAUUAUGACCUUUUUGUAAGUUAUGGGGUCCAUUUAGACUUAUGGGUCAAAUUGUAUUGAAAGUUUCCUCCUUGUUUUUCUUCUGGUCUCAUGCUUAAUGGCAAACUAUGACCUAGAUGAUAGAACAAAAACUUGCUAUAAUUUUUACUUAAAUUUAGAGUGCAUUUGACAGUGAUUCUGGGAAGCUUUUUUACCUUUUUAACACUUGAAAAUUUUUAUUUUUCAAAUAUUAAAAAUGCUAAAAAUCACUAUCAAACGCAUCCUUAGAAUACAUUUGAAAGUAUUUUUAAUAAAAAUGUUUUUUAUUAAAAAAAAUUUAAGAAAAAUUAGUUAUCAAGUGCUUCUUCGAAAAAUGUUAUAAGUAAUUUGUCAUAUUUUUUAAAAUAUUUCGUAAAAUUUAUUGAACGUUUAAUAUUUUUUCAAAAAACGUUUUUUAAACUAAAAUUCCUUUAUAUAAUCAUUGUGAAACAAAUUCGUAACACCAUAAUUUUGAAUGAUGUAAAGGGGUGCUUGAAGCCUAAGUAUAGAGUACGAAAAUGAACACAUUGGUUAGUGUAUAUUAUCAGGUUUGGAUGAUUUACAACAAUAAAAAAAAAUGUAACAAAUUUAUUCUCAUAGAAACUAAGACCCACAUGAUAAAAUUAAGAAAACUAUAAGAAAUCACACCUAUGUAUUCUCAUUCAUCUCUCUAUCAUGAGAGAAAAAAGAAAAAGGAAACGGAAAAAGAGAAAAGGAAAAGGAAACAAGGUAUGUAGAAAGCAAAGCAAUAUGGAUAUAAAGAUAAAUAUUUGGGAUUUUGGGAGGGAAGUGGAUUGAGUGGAGUGGUAGCUUUAGGAACACAUCCCUCAUUUUGAGGCCUUAUCACGUGACUUGGGGAAUCCAUUUAUCUUUAUUUUUUUCCUCCACUAAACCAAAUCUUUCUUUUAUUUUUUAUUUUUUAUUUUUAUUUCUUUUUUUAAGGGUUUCUAUAUGAUGAUGAUUUGUAGUCAAUAAAUAAAGCGGGUGGUAUCUGAUAUCAUGUAGGACCCUUUGGUCCCUUAAACAACUACUUUAGCACGACUAAGGCCAAAAAAAUAAAGCUAACGGCGCUGCAUACAGCCCCCUAUUUUUAGGGUCGUGCCCUUGGGAAAGCCCCCACAAGGAAUCUAUACACGUUUUGUUCUGUCACACCCUCACAAGACCUACCGAAACACUAACCUUUCCCUUUUGAAAAAAGAUUGUAAAAAUAUAUAUAUAAAAAGAGAAAGGGUAGGAGGAGAGGUACCGCAUAUCGAGACUGGAAGCUCAAGUCAACAGUCAUUGGAUUGGUGCGAUGUCUUAAUCUACUGGCUCUUAACAUGAGGGUUCUCUCUUUAUACUUGUUUAUAUAUUAUAUAUUAUAUAUUAUAUACCUUAUUGGUACAUAAGCUUGAUUUUGAAAGCCACCCAAAGUUCCAAAGCUAAGGAUGAUGAUUUGAUGAGGUAUCAUGUGGAGAGACACACAGGCCAGUACAAAAAUUUUAAAAAAGAAGAGGCAAAACGUAGAAGCAUUUUGGGCCAUGUGAGGCAAUGUGGUAGCCGGUCGGAAUAUGGAGGCUAGGAAUAGGGGGAUAGCGAGUGGUCCUGUGGGCUUUCAGAUGUACCACUUUUUAAGCUAACACAAAGGCCUAUACUCCCAGUAAUGCUACAACUCAAACGGCCGUACGAGGAGUUGCAAAUGGGCCAGGGCUUUUUUGUUCAGCUUUGGACAUGUUUAGGCUCUGUGCAAUGUCUGCAAUCUGUUAUGUCCCCAGUUAGUUGAGCUUUGGUGUUGAGAAGGACCGUUGAUCCUUUGACUUCACUCCAAGCUCAAAACUACUUUCGCCUGUGAACUCCUCUUGGGAGUAUCUCUAUGAAGAUCACAAUUGCUUCUAGUGGGUCGGAAGUGCUUCCUUCUAUGGUUUGAAAAGUGUAAAAGUAAUUUGUAAUUGCUAUGCAGAUUAAAUAGAAUAAUAUAUAUAUAUAUAUAUCUUAAAAUACCAUGAUAUUUUUAAAUAUUAUAUUCAAUGGAUAUAAUAUCUUAUAAUAGCAUAUUCAACAUGAUAUAUUAUGUUAUGUUUAUAUUAACUUUAUAAAUUAAUGAAUAAAAAAAUAAAAUAUAUAUUAUUUUUUAAUAUUUAAAAUAAAAAUUAUAUUGCACAAAUAUCUUUUAUUUUAAAAAUUAUAUUACAAUUUCUCUUAAGUUUAAUAAUAUUCAUGACUAAAAUAUUUAAACUUUAUAAAUAAAUUUUUUUAUAUUAUAUAUGUUAUUUAAUAUGUGAAAAAUAAUAUAAUAAUACAUAUUAUUAUUAUUAUUAUUAUUAUUAUUAUUAUUAUUAUUAUUAUUAUUAUAUAUUUUCUUUUUAUCAUAAAUUUAAUUUUAUAAUAAAAAAUUAUUUUAAAAAAAUAAGUAAUAUAAAAAAAAUAUAAAAAUAGAUAAAUUUAUGGUAUAUUAGAUAUGCAUAUCUUAAAUUUAGAUAUAUAUAGAAAAAUAAAUAAAUAAUAUAUCCUUUCACUUAUUUUAUCUUUUGUAUUAAUCAUUAAACAUGAGAUAAAAUAUAAUAUUCUUUUUUUAUCCUAACUUAUCUUAUGUUAUACCUAGUUAAUCAAAUAUAACCAAUAGUGUUAGGUGUGUAUAAGAAAAUUUUAAAAAUAUUUUUAAAAAAUUAGAAAAUUAACUAAUGUCAAAAUACUUUAAUUAAUAUCAAAGCCACUUAUUUAUUUAUUUAUAUGGAAAUAGUGUUAUGACAAAGUGCUAAAACCCCUCAUUUUUCAAAGAAAAAUAACUAUCAAAGAAAAAAAAAAGCUUAAAGAAAAUUAUUAACAAAAAAAUAUCUAGAUAGGAUCAUCAUAGUCAAUGAUUUUUAUUCAAUGUAUCUAGAAAUAUGGAUCAUAAUGCAAAAUAAUGUAUUAUCAAAGAAAAAAAAGCUUAAAAAAAUUAUUAACAAAAAAAAGAGCUAGAUAGGAUCAUCGUAAUUUUUUUCAUUUUAUACUUUUGUAUGUUAGGCGUAGUGCAAUCAAAGUAGUUGUAUGCAUGUCAUUUUCAAACAUGCACACUUGGCUAGAUUUUUCUUUAAAAAUGGACAUUGAUUUUAAUCACGAGACCCAUAUUUUAUAAGCCUAUCUCAUAAUUUUUUACAAGCAGGACUUGCCUAAAGGAAUUUUGGACUUAAACAACUUUCAAAAAGAACAUGAAAUGCAAAUUGCUUGGGACCCCAAGAAUGUCGCGUUUUGGAUUGUAACUGCUUCGGCGGUUGAUUGAGUUUGACAAGCAACCUAAUUUUCAGCAACCUCAAAAAUAAGCAUUUGUUAGUGUUUAGCAGUUGCAAGAUUGCAGUCGACCAACCAAGUUGUUUGGCUUGCAAUAUUUACUUGAAAAGUGCAUUAAAUGCUAGUGAAUUCAUCAAGAAUUGGUACCUAGCUAAUGACUAAUUUAUACCUUAAUUUGAUAGAAAUAUUUCUCAAACCUUAAUUAUGAUCUCCUAACCACCUAAAAAUAGGGAUGACAACUUCAUGGGUUUUUCGGGUUACUCGUCCCGCCCCGCCUCGUCCCGCCCCGCCUCUAUUAGGACAGGUAUGUGAGUAUAUUAAUAGGGGAAUGGGCGGGUUUGGGUUUAUUUUUAAAACCUCAAAUUGGGUUUGGGCCGAGGUUGGGUUUUGUAAUAACUCGUCCCGCUUACAAUAUACCAAUAAAACCCCUUAUAAAUAUUUCUCUUUAUUUUCAGGAUUCUCUCAUCUUCUCAAAUGAAGAGACAUUCUUCUUUCUGUUUCUUUUUCUCACUUUAGGCCUUUGUGGAGUCGAUUUUUCUCAUAAAGAUAGGUCUCACAAACAAAAUCACACCCACUGCAAUGGCUCUCAAGCUCCUCACCACCUUCAUCUCCCUAUUCCACAACCCUCCUCCUCAAUCUCGUUGUGCUAGAUCUCAAAGUUUUCAUGGCCUCCACUCUUCACUCCAUCUCUAUGUGAGUUUUUUCUCCAUUCGUUUCUCAUUGUUUUGGAAUCUUGUGACACUCAUUAUUAUAAUUCCAAAUGUGUUUUUCUUGUUGGUUUUAUUUUUAGUUUUUUUAUGGGUUUUUUUCUCGGUUGCCAAAUGAAUCAUUAUAUGAUUUGUAAUUUAAGUUUUUUUUGUAGAGAUGUUUAUAGGUGUCAUCAAAAAUUGGUUUUUGGUGUUUGUAUUAACGUGGGUUGUUGUUAUUUGAUCUAAAUGUUUCGGAUAUUGAGUUGAAUCUUGUGGGUUCAUUGUGAUAAAAAAAAAUGGGUUUUUUUCCCUUCAAAUUGAUUACAAUUUGUUGCAUCUUAGGUGAUAAAUUCUCUUUGGGAACUAGAUUUCAUUACGGAUUUGAGAUUUGCAUCUGCCAAAUGAGGCGAGACAAGGAUGGGGACAUGAUUAUAGUUUUGGUUUGAAAACGGGAAUGGGAACACUUACCCCGCCCUAACUUGGGUUUGGGAUGAGGAUGGAAAAUAGUUUUAUAUUUUGGGAUGGGAAUGGGAUAGGGAUGCCCUGUCCCAAACCCACCUCGUUGUCAUUCCUACUUAAAAAUCGUUAGUAAUCACUAUGAGAGAGCUUUAAACUCAUUCAAGUGUAAUUAUUUCAUGACUUUCAUACUUCAUUUAUUAGGUUUAUGUACAAAUCAACCUAGGGUAAUCACCCAAGGAGGGGAAGAAUGAAUUAGGUGAUAAUCAAUGUUCGCAAAUUUAAACAAUUUUAAGAAUACAAAUGACAAUUAUAUACAAUAAUAUAACAAAUGUAAUGGAAGAGUAACUGCAUAUAAAAUAAAAAGAGAAAUGACAGAUAAAUACAAAUACAGGUUUUUAUAAUGGGUUCGACUCUUAAAUCACUAAAAUGCUCUGAUCGGAUGAAGGUUCCACUUACAAGGCCUCUAACCCAAGCCUUUAAGCUUUAAAGUUUAAUUAUGAUUCCAAGGAACCUUUUAAAAUAAGACUUUUGAAUAGAAAGUCUUCAUACUAUCACCCUAGGAUUAUGAUUCCAAUGGACCUUCUUAAGAUUGAGCUCCCCAAGUGAUCCACACUUGGCAACACAAGGAUAUUGAGAAAAUAAAGGUUAUACUUAAAUGAGAAAAACACCCAAUGAUUACUACUCAAAAAGUGCAAUUUCAUAGCUUAUAAUUAACUCUUUUAAACACUUUUGAGUAGUAGUUAUUGCCUUUUAACCCAAUUAACAUGUUAAGGACCCUUGCAAUCAUUUCUAAUCAAAUUGUGUAAGUUUUGGUGUUUUUGUUAGUAAUUUGAUCACCAAAACAAUCCAAGAUUGAGGAGAGUUAUUUGGAAUCCAUGGCAAAGCAAUGAAGAGCUCAAAUUCAUGAAGAACCAAGCUUUGGAGCUCCAUAGCCCUUUGCCAAAGUCGUUCAAAGUAUGCAAGGAGAGAAGCAAGGAGAGAGGAAAAACAGAGUGAAGAAAAACAGAGGACAAGCAGCUGCAGUCUUCAUGCGUACUUUUGGAGCACUUACCGAAGUCCAUUUUCUACAUUCUAUAUACCAUUUCAAAGCUCAGGAAGUCAAGAAUCCAAUGCUUCAAACGGUGUGCGAUUCGGAGUUGAAACGAAGGAGUUACAGCCAUUGCAAGCAGAUCACUCCAAAGUGUUGCGAAAUCAGCCUUUUGUUGCGAGAAUUUCGCAGCCUUUUUGUACAGUGCUAUGGCNNNNNNNNNNNNNNNNNNNNNNNNNNNNNNNNNNNNNNNNNNNNNNNNNNNNNNNNNNNNNNNNNNNNNNNNNNNNNNNNNNNNNNNNNNNNNNNNNNNNAAGCUACCCGAUACAUGCCGCAGCUGGAACGCUGAGAUCCCUCAAGGUGGAAAGCCAAUUUCGUAGCCUUGGCGAGUUUAACUUGUUGUUGCAAAAAAUAUUUUCGCAGCCCUCUUGGGUGUCUGCGGAAAUCUCGCAGAACACCCAUUUUCACCUGCGAAAUGGGUUCCCUGAAAGCUUCCCGAUAUUUCCACCCGACUCUUUUGGAUAUUUUUCUUUCAGAUAUUUUGUAUAAAUUUCCAUUUUCUCCUUGUAUUCAGCCACUCAUGUAAUUCCUUAGCUAGGAAGUGUCCAAGGAAGGGUAAAUUACCUUCCUAUAUAAACUCUCUUGCAUCCACUGUAAAACGGACGCUCGGAGAAGUAUGUAAUAUAGAUAUAUCAAUAUAUAGAAUAUACAGAGCCUUGCUCUGUUUUUCCUUCUCUUUCAUUUUUCAUUUCUUUUUAUUUCUAGCCAACCAAACUUUGAGGAUUUUUCCUCAGAGGAUGAGAGGCUAAGCUUUUUGUCUCUUGGAGUGAGGAAAGCCGGGUAAGUUUCCACAUGCAUAAAUUGGAAGUUUUGUUGUUUUAGUUUUUAAUGAAGAGAAAGUGUAACCCGUUAAUGGUUUUUAUCUUUUUAGUUAACUUAAAACACCUUAGAGUCACCUGGGCCAACACUUGGUAAGGCAAGUGAUCUCCAACCAAGGAGAUGCACUAGUUUACCCCUUGCGAGCCUUUGGGAGGUGACUUGAAGGUAGGAUUUUCUAGAAUAGCCAACACUUGGUAAGCUUUUGGACUCCAAGGAGACAUCCAUUAGUUAUCUCUUGCGAGCUUUUGAUGGGUAAUCCAAGGUUAAAGAUCACCUUGAAUGGCAAGUGCUAGGUGAGAGGCAUGAGCCAUUGCAAGAUGCAUCAGUGAGAGGGAUUUAGUGUUUGAACCCAUUAAUGGGAAGCAUCUGUACAACACCGGUUAGAGAAUUAACUAUAUGUUAAUUCUCUAAUGCGAGGAAAAGAAACAAGUGACCGGAACUCCCUUUUUGUAUGAGGAAUCUGAGCCUAGUGAUCUAAACUCCAAGAAACACUUUUCUUUGUAGUUAAAAUCAGUUACUAUUUUUGGUUAGUUUAAAUCUAAACCUUUUUCAUUCAAGCAUCUUUAUGUUUUCUUUUAAAGCUAACCUUGAAAUGAAAAGGCACCAAUUCAACUUUGAAUUAACAUCAUUUGUGAAGUGAAAACCCAUCCCAGUGAACGAUCCUAGAGCCACUAUACUAUAGUAGCUUUGUCUUUGCUACCCUAGUAUAUGGUGUAAUAGGUUAUAAAUUUUGUUGAUUAAUCCCUCAAUCAAGGAGCACCAGCUGGACACGAAUCAGCUGAGACACCAAGUGGGCACGAAUCAAAUGGCGCCGCUGCCGGGGAUCGAACCUCGAAUCAAAUGGUGCCAUUGCCACUGCCGCUGCUAGGGACGAAUCAAAUGGCGCCGUUGCCGGGGAUGGUGCCACUUUACAGUGAUAUCACCUUUUCAGAGUACUUGUGAUCUUCAUCACAAGUUUGGUGACUUUUCUUUUCCUUUAACUAACUCUUUUUAUUUCUUUAUUGUUCAUAUUUUAGUAUACCUUUUAUUUAGUUUUUAGUUUACCUUAAUUUUCUUUCUUUGAAUUGUUUUUCUUUUGUUUUCUUUUGUGUUCUCUGUUUUUAAUUCACAAAUUUCUAGUUGUGCAUGCCAUAUUGAAUACGAGAUAGCAGAGGAAGCCAUGAACUUCUUGAGUUAUGUGGCUGAAUUUUCAAAAGGAUGGUAUGAACCAAAUGCUCGAGAUAUGGAAAGACUGAUGUCUCAACCUAAAGCUAAGGGUGAGAUGUAUAUUUUGAAUGAUGGUAUGGACAUGAAGGCAGAGAUUGCAGCUAUGGAAAGGAGAUUGGAUGAGCUAGAAAUGAACCAGAUGCAACCAGUGCAAGCCAUCUCUCAAACACCAUUGCAAGCUAUGCCUUGUGCCAUUUGUCUAUCUUAUGAGCACUUGGUGGAUGAGUGUCCUACCAUUCCAACCGAGAGGGAAAUGUUUGGUGAUUGCAACACCUACAAUUCCAAUUGGAGGGACCAUCCAAAUUUCUCUUGGAAACCACAGCCACCUCAGUAUCAGCAACCUGCUCAAGCACCACAGCAAGCCUCAAACCUUGAACAAGCUAAGGUGAAUCUUUGCAAGGUCGUGGGAGAUUUUAUUGAAAAGCAAGAAGCCAUCAAUGCUCAAAUCAAUCAAAGAAUUGACAGAGUGGAGAGUACUUUGAAUAAAAGGAUGGAUGAAAUGCAAAAUGAUCUAUCUCAGAAGUUAGAUAUUCUCCAAGAUUCAAUCUCAAGGCUUGCCAACCUCAACAUAGUGCAAGAGAAAGAAAACUCUCCUUCUCAACCUUGUCAAAAUUCUAUGAGUAUCCAUGAAAUGGAGGCUAAGGAGGGAAAAUCUUCACAAAAGAAGGAAGUCAAAGAAGUGAUCACUCUGAGGAGUGGUAAAGAGGUUGAUCUGCCCACAUGCAAGCUAGAGCAUAAGGUAGAGAGUGCAACAGAGAAAGAAAAUAGGGAGGAAAUCAAAGGAAAGAAAAUUGGGAAAGGCAUAGAGAAAGAUGACUAUGAUCUAAGUAUAGAUGAAAAAUCACAGAGGAUAGUCAUCAAGGAAGAAUUGAUGAAGAAACACAUGCUUCCACCUUUUCUCAAAGCUUUGUAUGAGAAAAUCAUACAAAGAAAGCCCCAAGUGGAGGAUGCAAACUUCAUAUGGGAUCCGGGCAAGCUAAAUCAGGAUCAAAUUUUUUGAUGGACUUAGUCUUUUUAAAGACUAGCUAGUCCAUAUCCUUUUGUUUUGUUUUUUUUAGUUGUUUUAAUUUUAAUUUCAAUGCUUUAAUUUUGAUUUCAAUGCUUUAAUUCUGUUUGUUUUGAUGUAAUAUAGGUUUUUGGAUGAUCAAAAUCAAGAGGAAUUACAAAGAAAUUGAAGAAAAAAAAUCGGAGCAAAAUCGGAGUCAAACGGAGCGAAAACAGGGGAGAAACAGGGGAAAAACAGGGGUCUGCGAGAUUUCGCAGCCUCUGCGAAAUCGGCAUUUUGUUGCCAAACCAUUCCGCAACACUGUAGAAGUCUCUGCGAGGGCAUUUCGCAGCUGCGAAACCAAAUUUGGCACACGAGUGCCACUUCGCAGCACAGGAGCCCUCAUUUCGCAGUUGCGAAAGCGGCUGCGAACCACCAAAGCACGAAAUCCUCCAUUUCGCAGGGAAAGCUCCAUUUGGCAGGGUGUUUGGCAGCUGCGAAACCAAUUUAUGGCACACGAGUGCCAUUUCGCAGCACAGUGAACCUCAUUUCGCAACUGCGAAAAUGGCUGCGAAACGAAAGAAAAAAAAAAUCAUUUUUUUUUUGCAGCCAAAGUCCCAUUCCGCAGAGGAUUUCGCGGCUGCGAAAGCACUUUUGGCACACGAGUGCCAUUUCGCAGCACAGUGACUCCCAUUUCGCAGCUGCGAAACGGCUGCGAAGUUCCAAAACGUGAAAAUUCCCAAUUUCACAGCCGCACCCCAUUUCGGCAAUUGUUGGGCACAAUUCGAUCACUUCCCGAAGUUCAAAUUAUGCAUACAAUAUCUCAUUUGAAAGCUUGGGAAGUCAGGAGUCCAUAGCUUCAAACAGUGCUCGAUUUGGAUUUGAAACAGAAAAGUUAUGGCUGUUUGAAUAUGACUGUGCAAACCAUGAGCGGAAAUAUCGCACCUCAAUUUCGCUACUGUUGGACACAUUUUUGAAGCACUUCCUGGAGCUCAAAUUAUGCAUAUGAUAUUUCGUUUCAAAUCUUGGGAAGUCAGGAGUCCAUAGCUUCAAACGGUGCUCGAUUUGGAUUUGAAACGAAGAAGUUAUGGCUGUUUGAAGACAAGCGCGCAAAGCUGAGCGAGAAUUUCGCGGCUGCGAAAUCAUUUUGAAGCUGCGAUACACCUGCGAAAUCACUUUUGAGCUGCGAAAUCAAUUUUGAGUUGCGAAAUCACUUUUGAGCUUUGAAAUGGAUGCGAAAUGAUCUCCAAGCUUCAGAAUGGCUGCGAAAAUGCUCCAAGCUUCAAAAAUGGUCUGCGAAAAUGCCACUUUGCUGUGAAAUGAUCUCCAAACUUUGAAAUGGCUGUGAAAUCACCUCCAAGCUUCAAAAUGGCCUUCAAAUUGUGAAAUUGACUUGCAAAAUGGAGGGAAGUUUGCAAAAACACCUUGCAAAGCCAAGGGAAGUUGUUAAAAUGCCAACAGAGCCCCGCUACCAUGCAUCUGAAGAGAAGAGCCCUGUGCACCUUGGCAUCACACACACUAAGCCUCUCACUCCAUUUCUAACCUCCUUAAAGCAUCAAAUCCCAUAGCUACCAGCUGAGAGCUCCAACUGAGAAGACUAUGCCACCUAAGGAGACUAUCAGAACAGAGGCCAAAGUCUUGAUCCAACCCAUUCAAGAGGCCACCACAGACGCAUCAGCUCCACAGGACCUUACCAUUACUUGAUCAUCUCUUUACUUUUUGUCUUUACAUAUUAUAUUAGUGUAAAUAGCUCCAUGUUUUAAUGUCUUAUAUUCUGGGAUUGGAUGUAUUACUGAUGAUACAUCAUAUAUAGACAUCAUUUUUGUUUAAACUUGACAUUUUUCUAUUUCCUCUACUCACUAACUCUUAUGUUUUCUUUGAAACAUGUGGUUUCUCCUAUACGACUCAAACUCCAUGUCACUAAGGAGGUACCACUUCCUCCCUAUUUUUUAAUCGCUUUUGUCACAUUGAGGACAAUGUUCAGCUUGGUUGGGGGGAGAGUUGAGGAAGUAAGUAUUGUUAAUAAUGCUAAGUUAUUUUGGUAAUUUAGUUGCUUUUUGUUUAAAUUUUAAAAUUUUUGCUUUAAACUCCAUGGAUAUUAAGGAUUAACUCUCAAAAUUAAAUGAGAGAAGUCAAGUUUCAACUUGAUCACAUGAGUCUUAGAGUUUGUAUUAUGCUCUUCUAAAAGUUGAUAAAUUGUUGAAACUCCAAUUGCAUGCAAACUUAUCUCUUCCACCUUAAGCUAUUCGCACACACAUACAUUAGAUUCCGGUUAUAAGAUGUGAAACUAUCUCACCCUCUAAGCUUGAGAAAUCAUAAUUUGACACCCUUAACCUCUCUUUAAUAGUGUUGGGACACCUCAUAAAGACCAAUGAGUCUUUGUAAAAAAAGAAAAAGAAAAAGAAAAAAAGAAAAAAGAAAAAGAAAAAAAAUAUAUAGAAUAAACUUCUUUGCUUGCCUUGAAACCUGAGCAUGGUCCGAAGGGGUGGCGAAAGCCUUUAAAGCCUGGUGCUCUAAGCCUUUAUUGGUUGGGAGUCACCGAUCCUCUACUUGUUACAUGGGUGAAUUGGUUAAGUUUAGUAAGUGAAAAGAAUUGUGAAUAAGAGGUGCGUUCCUAGCCUAUCAAGAGAUGGUUAAUUUUGCUAAGCUUAAAGAAAGACUUAGGUUGGGGGGAGAUGAUAGUUAUCCAUACUAUACUCGGAAGCUAAUCACAUUAACACUUAGCUUUUAAUGGAAGAAUUUGAUUUGGAUCUUUUGAGAGUGGAAAUUCUUUUGAUGCUUAAACUUGCAUAAUAUCCAUUCUUUGUACUCUAAGAUCAAGUGAAUGCUUUGACAACUCUUAUUAUAGGUUGAGUUUCACAUCUUUAUUGAUCCAUGGAUGUCCAUCAUGCCACUCAUAUCAUUUUUUUGGAGUGAUUUGCAUGAUCCCUUUUAUGUAUAUUAUUAUAGUUACUUAGUUUUUCUCUCCUUCAUUGCUAAGGGACUAGCAAUAUGUCGGUUGGGGGGAGUGAUUACUACUCAAAAAGUGCAGUUUCAUAGCUUAUAAUUAACUCUUUUAAACACUUUUGAGUAGUAGUUAUUGCCUUUUAACCCAAUUAACAUGUUAAGGACCCUUGCAAUCAUUUCUAAUCAAAUUGUGUAAGUUUUGGUGUUUUUGUUAGUAAUUUGAUCACCAAAACAAUCCAAGAUUGAGGAGAGUUAUUUGGAAUCCAUGGCAAAGCAAUGAAGAGCUCAAAUUCAUGAAGAACCAAGCUUUGGAGCUCCAUAGCCCUUUGCCAAAGUCGUUCAAAGUAUGCAAGGAGAGAAGCAAGGAGAGAGGAAAAACAGAGUGAAGAAAAACAGAGGACAAGCAGCUGCAGUCUUCAUGCGUACUUUUGGAGCACUUACCGAAGUCCAUUUUCUACAUUCUAUAUACCAUUUCAAAGCUCAGGAAGUCAAGAAUCCAAUGCUUCAAACGGUGUGCGAUUCGGAGUUGAAACGAAGGAGUUACAGCCAUUGCAAGCAGAUCACUCCAAAGUGUUGCGAAAUCAGCCUUUUGUUGCGAGAAUUUCGCAGCCUUUUUGUACAGUGCUAUGGAAUUCCUCCUGAAGCUACCCGAUACAUGCCGCAAGCUGGAACGCUGAGAACCUCAAGGUGGAAGCCAAUUUCGUAGCCCUGCGAGUUUAACUUGUUGUUGCAAAAAUAUUUCGCAGCCCUCUUGGGUGUCUGCGAAAUCUCGCAGACACCAUUUUCACCUGCGAAAUGGUUCCUGAAGCUUCCCGAUAUUUUCCACCGACUCUUUUGGAUAUUUUUCUUCAGAUAUUUUUGUAUAAAUUUCCAUUUUCUCCUUGUAUUCAGCCACUCAUGUAAUUCCUUAGCUAGGAAGUGUCCAAGGAAGGGUAAAUUACCUUCCUAUAUAAACUCUCUUGCAUCCACUGUAAAACGGACGCUCGGAGAAGUAUGUAAUAUAGAUAUAUCAAUAUAUAGAAUAUACAGAGCCUUGCUCUGUUUUUCCUUCUCUUUCAUUUUUCAUUUCUUUUUAUUUCUAGCCAACCAAACUUUGAGGAUUUUUCCUCAGAGGAUGAGAGGCUAAGCUUUUUGUCUCUUGGAGUGAGGAAAGCCGGGUAAGUUUCCACAUGCAUAAAUUGGAAGUUUUGUUGUUUUAGUUUUUAAUGAAGAGAAAGUGUAACCCGUUAAUGGUUUUUAUCUUUUUAGUUAACUUAAAACACCUUAGAGUCACCUGGGCCAACACUUGGUAAGGCAAGUGAUCUCCAACCAAGGAGAUGCACUAGUUUACCCCUUGCGAGCCUUUGGGAGGUGACUUGAAGGUAGGAUUUUCUAGAAUAGCCAACACUUGGUAAGCUUUUGGACUCCAAGGAGACAUCCAUUAGUUAUCUCUUGCGAGCUUUUGAUGGGUAAUCCAAGGNNNNNNNNNNNNNNNNNNNNNNNNNNNNNNNNNNNNNNNNNNNNNNNNNNNNNNNNNNNNNNNNNNNNNNNNNNNNNNNNNNNNNNNNNNNNNNNNNNNNNNNNNNNNNNNNNNNNNNNNNNNNNNNNNNNNNNNNNNNNNNNNNNNNNNNNNNNNNNNNNNNNNNNNNNNNNNNNNNNNNNNNNNNNNNNNNNNNNNNNNNNNNNNNNNNNNNNNNNNNNNNNNNNNNNNNNNNNNNNNNNNNNNNNNNNNNNNNNNNNNNNNNNNNNNNNNNNNNNNNNNNNNNNNNNNNNNNNNNNNNNNNNNNNNNNNNNNNNNNNNNNNNNNNNNNNNNNNNNNNNNNNNNNNNNNNNNNNNNNNNNNNNNNNNNNNNNNNNNNNNNNNNNNNNNNNNNNNNNNNNNNNNNNNNNNNNNNNNNNNNNNNNNNNNNNNNNNNNNNNNNNNNNNNNNNNNNNNNNNNNNNNNNNNNNNNNNNNNNNNNNNNNNNNNNNNNNNNNNNNNNNNNNNNNNNNNNNNNNNNNNNNNNNNNNNNNNNNNNNNNNNNNNNNNNNNNNNNNNNNNNNNNNNNNNNNNNNNNNNNNNNNNNNNNNNNNNNNNNNNNNNNNNNNNNNNNNNNNNNNNNNNNNNNNNNNNNNNNNNNNNNNNNNNNNNNNNNNNNNNNNNNNNNNNNNNNNNNNNNNNNNNNNNNNNNNNNNNNNNNNNNNNNNNNNNNNNNNNNNNNNNNNNNNNNNNNNNNNNNNNNNNNNNNNNNNNNNNNNNNNNNNNNNNNNNNNNNNNNNNNNNNNNNNNNNNNNNNNNNNNNNNNNNNNNNNNNNNNNNNNNNNNNNNNNNNNNNNNNNNNNNNNNNNNNNNNNNNNNNNNNNNNNNNNNNNNNNNNNNNNNNNNNNNNNNNNNNNNNNNNNNNNNNNNNNNNNNNNNNNNNNNNNNNNNNNNNNNNNNNNNNNNNNNNNNNNNNNNNNNNNNNNNNNNNNNNNNNNNNNNNNNNNNNNNNNNNNNNNNNNNNNNNNNNNNNNNNNNNNNNNNNNNNNNNNNNNNNNNNNNNNNNNNNNNNNNNNNNNNNNNNNNNNNNNNNNNNNNNNNNNNNNNNNNNNNNNNNNNNNNNNNNNNNNNNNNNNNNNNNNNNNNNNNNNNNNNNNNNNNNNNNNNNNNNNNNNNNNNNNNNNNNNNNNNNNNNNNNNNNNNNNNNNNNNNNNNNNNNNNNNNNNNNNNNNNNNNNNNNNNNNNNNNNNNNNNNNNNNNNNNNNNNNNNNNNNNNNNNNNNNNNNNNNNNNNNNNNNNNNNNNNNNNNNNNNNNNNNNNNNNNNNNNNNNNNNNNNNNNNNNNNNNNNNNNNNNNNNNNNNNNNNNNNNNNNNNNNNNNNNNNNNNNNNNNNNNNNNNNNNNNNNNNNNNNNNNNNNNNNNNNNNNNNNNNNNNNNNNNNNNNNNNNNNNNNNNNNNNNNNNNNNNNNNNNNNNNNNNNNNNNNNNNNNNNNNNNNNNNNNNNNNNNNNNNNNNNNNNNNNNNNNNNNNNNNNNNNNNNNNNNNNNNNNNNNNNNNNNNNNNNNNNNNNNNNNNNNNNNNNNNNNNNNNNNNNNNNNNNNNNNNNNNNNNNNNNNNNNNNNNNNNNNNNNNNNNNNNNNNNNNNNNNNNNNNNNNNNNNNNNNNNNNNNNNNNNNNNNNNNNNNNNNNNNNNNNNNNNNNNNNNNNNNNNNNNNNNNNNNNNNNNNNNNNNNNNNNNNNNNNNNNNNNNNNNNNNNNNNNNNNNNNNNNNNNNNNNNNNNNNNNNNNNNNNNNNNNNNNNNNNNNNNNNNNNNNNNNNNNNNNNNNNNNNNNNNNNNNNNNNNNNNNNNNNNNNNNNNNNNNNNNNNNNNNNNNNNNNNNNNNNNNNNNNNNNNNNNNNNNNNNNNNNNNNNNNNNNNNNNNNNNNNNNNNNNNNNNNNNNNNNNNNNNNNNNNNNNNNNNNNNNNNNNNNNNNNNNNNNNNNNNNNNNNNNNNNNNNNNNNNNNNNNNNNNNNNNNNNNNNNNNNNNNNNNNNNNNNNNNNNNNNNNNNNNNNNNNNNNNNNNNNNNNNNNNNNNNNNNNNNNNNNNNNNNNNNNNNNNNNNNNNNNNNNNNNNNNNNNNNNNNNNNNNNNNNNNNNNNNNNNNNNNNNNNNNNNNNNNNNNNNNNNNNNNNNNNNNNNNNNNNNNNNNNNNNNNNNNNNNNNNNNNNNNNNNNNNNNNNNNNNNNNNNNNNNNNNNNNNNNNNNNNNNNNNNNNNNNNNNNNNNNNNNNNNNNNNNNNNNNNNNNNNNNNNNNNNNNNNNNNNNNNNNNNNNNNNNNNNNNNNNNNNNNNNNNNNNNNNNNNNNNNNNNNNNNNNNNNNNNNNNNNNNNNNNNNNNNNNNNNNNNNNUGAGAGGGAUUUAGUGUUGGAACCCAUUAAUGGGAAGCAUCUGUACAACACCGGUUAGAGAAUUAACUAUAUGUUAAUUCUCUAAUGCGAGGAAAAGAAACAAGUGACCGGAACUCCCUUUUUGUAUGAGGAAUCUGAGCCUAGUGAUCUAAACUCCAAGAAACACUUUUCUUUGUAGUUAAAAUCAGUUACUAUUUUUGGUUAGUUUAAAUCUAAACCUUUUUCAUUCAAGCAUCUUUAUGUUUUCUUUUAAAGCUAACCUUGAAAUGAAAAGGCACCAAUUCAACUUUGAAUUAACAUCAUUUGUGAAGUGAAAACCCAUCCCAGUGAACGAUCCUAGAGCCACUAUACUAUAGUAGCUUUGUCUUUGCUACCCUAGUAUAUGGUGUAAUAGGUUAUAAAUUUUGUUGAUUAAUCCCUCAAUCAAGGAGCACCAGCUGGACACGAAUCAGCUGAGACACCAAGUGGGCACGAAUCAAAUGGCGCCGCUGCCGGGGAUCGAACCUCGAAUCAAAUGGUGCCAUUGCCACUGCCGCUGCUAGGGACGAAUCACCCAAGAGGGGGGUGAAUUGGAUUUUUCAAAAUCUUUUUCAACACAACAAAUUCAAGCACAAUAGAAGCAAAAAUAAAGAGGUGGAGUUUAGAGAAAGCAAACUCAGAUUUUAUAGUGGUUCAACACUUUCUUGCCUACAUCCACUCUCCUGAAUCUCGUAACCAAGUGAGGGUUCCACUAACUUAAAGCUUCAACUAAGCUUUUAAUCUCCUUUACACUUGGAUUUCGGCUCCAAUGGGCUCUUACAUAAUGUCUUCAAGAUUCAACUCAGUUGAAGCCUUUAACACUCACUUUUUACAAGAAUGAAUCCCUCAACCUAGCUCAAUGAUAGCUCAAAUACAAAUCAAAGUUAGGAUGAAACACAAAGGUGCACUAAAGGAUAUGCAAGUGUAGAUUUAAUGCACCAAGAAAGAAAUGAGAGUUUUUAAGGCAAGAACAAGUGGGUAGACAAUUGAAUGCAAGUGUUCUCUAUGUCAUAAAUGAAGUAGAGCUCUCAAUUUAUAAGUUUUUAACCUCGGGAGCCAAGAAAAACAAAAAACAAAAAACAGCCUCAACCGGUUGAGCUGGGGGUCGACCGGUUCACUAGCCGUUGGAGCAUUUAAUGCUUUGGCAGGUUUUCGUUGCCUCGACCGGACCUCGAUCGGGAAGGGAAGGCUACUGGAUGAGAGAGUGUGUUUUUAACACUCCUCGACCAAACCUUGACUGGACAAGGGCAACCGGUCGACCGGUUCCCUGGCCGGUUGAGUCGGUUGGCCAGUGCCUCGACCGAUUCAGCCUUUUGGCCCCGAAAACCUAUCUUUUUCAAUUCUUUUCUUUUCUAACACUUAGGCAAGGUUUUUAGGUAAAUUAAUAUGUCAAUUUUGAAAUGUUUUGCCUAAGGUACAUUUGAUAAAACUCGGGUUUUAAUGAAAUUAUAAGUUUAAAUAAUAAACUGAGUUUUCCAAAUAUGCAUGAAAAGAUAUGUAAAACCUAAGUGCACCCAUGCAUUCAUCUUACAUUUGUUUCCUAUGAUUAAAAGUCUUCCAAAUAUAUCGAUCUUGUAUCCAUUUGGUCCUUUGAUGAAUUUCCAAAUUUAUACCUGAGAUUCUUUACAAUUCAAACCAAUUAGUCACUUAACCAUGGUUUGUUAUCAUCAAAACUUGAUUAGGAGAACCCUUGGGCUAACAAUCUCCCCCUUUUUUAUGAUGACAAACCUUGGUUAUCUAGGAGAAGAAAAAAAAUCUCAUCCUCAAACCAAUCAUGGAUCAAUCAUUCAAAAUUUAUGAUGUUAAAACAAAUACAAUCAAGACAUGCAAAUUUUUAAUAGGAAACAAAGAUAAGUCAUGAAACAUAUAGCAUAUCAUAUAUAAGUAAAGUCAAAUGUACACUAAACAUAAACAUAUAAGUCAAUCUAAACAAAUGAUAUGAUAAUGAUAUGCAUGUGAGUCUCCUAGAUAUAAGCUAAUCCUAAAUAUCUCUCCCCCUUUUGGCAACAUAAAAAAGGAAUGAAGGGGGUCUCUAUGAAAUCAAGGCUAAGAAGGUGGAGGUGGAAACAUGGAGCGUAGGUAAGCCAUCAUUUCCUCAUGCUGACUUUCCUAGCGACUCUCAAUACGCUCUAUCCUCUAUUAGAGAUGCUUAAACACAGUCUGCUGCUGAUCCAUGCGAUCCUUCAUACGCUCAAACCUCUGCUACAUAUACUCAAACUGAGAGGUGAAGCCAGUCUUAUAUUGAUCCAUGUGAUCCUCCAUAGAGUAGAAUCGAGUAUCACUAACUACUACAAGCUCCUCCAUGCGAGUGCCGAGAGAGCUAAUCUGAACAAACAGAUCCAUCCAAGGUGCAUGAUCAGGAGCAUGAGGUGUCUGAUGAGGUGAUGUCUCUAUGUGAGAAGGCUUAGUGAAAGAUGACUGAGAAGAUGGUCCCGUUGUGUAAGCCAGCUCAGACAUCAUCGUCUCAGGGAAUGUGGCAUCAAACUGAACACCCUCGGACUGGAGUGGAGGAAUGUCAAGCUCGGGCCCUCUCUGCUAAAAACCUCUUUAAGGGUCUACUCUACCUUCCGUCUCUCGUAUCUCGACCUUCUCCUCUACUCCAGGAUGCACCUGUCCCUGUCACCAGGCAUGUGUUGUUGGUCUCUCUGCUCUCAUAAUCUAGGAAUCAUCGGGGGCCUUCUCAAAUUUCAUCCUUCCCAAAGAUUGCUCAUCAUAUGUAUCGUAAGUGUUAGGGACCUCAAAAUUUGUCUCUCUGCUCAAAUCGACCUCGACAUCUUUAAACACUCUAGUGAGGAAACUACCGUAAGGGAGUACGUGGGUAGUGCUCUCGCAGAAUGAGAUCUUGUGCAUCAUCAUCAAAUAUCCCACAUGAAUCCGUCUCCCCAUCAUAAUGGAGUCCACAAGGAAUGCCUUAAGGUAUGAGACCUCAUUUCGGUGUCCGCCUCAUGGCAGUAAGAUGGAGCAGAUCAUGUGAUGUAGCACUCUGCUGCUCACGGUCAAGCUAUGGGUCAAUGGUUUGCCCAUCCCCUAAGCGUCUGCAAUACCGCACAUCCUCUGAAUGACCUCUCUAAGCUCGAAACUCGGCACAGUGGGCCAAACCUUGGACUCAUACACCUUGAGUCCAACUAGAGCAAUAUCUAAAAUAUGGCAGAUGCUCUCCGGGUCCAAUUGAAUCUCAACACCUCUAACGGUGGAAAUAAUCGGGUCACCAAGUCCAUAUGUAGCCCUCAAAUAGUACGCACACACUAGAGUCGGAAAAAUCAGCUCUGAAAUCAUCACUACUGGCAGCCAACUCAUUCGACUGAAGAGGCCCUCAAACCUGAAAUGCUGCAGUUGGGAGAAAUUGAUACUUCUCCCUAGAACUACAUUUCUCUGAGCAAACUUCUGCUUGUACCUUUGAUAAUCCUCCACGAUGAUGAAAAGGGACGUGUCAAACCUCGCCUUUCAACAAGCCUCCAUCUGAGCAGGCUGAGACAGCUCAACUGAGCGUUGUCCCUGUGCUCUAAAGGUAAUCGUCUCUCUCCUAUGAGCCACCAAAAAAGCAUAAAUGAAGGAGACGAGGCUGGUAAAGAGAGAAGCACACACACCCAAGACCCUAGGUGCGUAGGAAAGGUGCUGAAGCUGGUUGUGAUGCGCAGACAAAGGAAAAGUCGUCCCAGAUCCAAAACCCUAGCCUUUGAAAAUCAAUUCAAAGCCCUCAAUCUGCUACAAUGGCCUAAAAAAUCACUCAUUGGCAGUUGAAUCAGCACAACCCUUGAAGAACCAAAGGAAACAUGUGAGAAAAUGAAGCGCGAGAGGGUAUUUAAAUCGUCAGCCUCGACGAAACGGUCAACCUCCUAGUCAACAGUCAACGCGAUCAACUUUUAAACUUUUCUGCAUUUUCUCGUCUCAUGAUCCUCCCCCUACAUUUUUCAGUUGAAAUCCCCAAUUUUGUAUGCCCAAUACUAAGGGAAUUUUGAUUUUUUGGUCAAAAUUUAACCAUUUAUCUAAGUAUAUGUCUAUAUGAUGCAUAUGACAUGAAAUUCAUGCAAUCAGAAGGUAUAUUCAUUAAGCAAUCAUUAGAUCAUAAGGAAAUCACCCCUAGUUGUCUUCUAAUAUCAAAAAAUUGUUCUUCACUUAGAGGUUUUGUAAAAAUAUCGACAAGUUAAUCUUUUAUGCUUACAAAUUCAAGUGUAAUGUCACCCUUUUGUGCAUGGUUUUUAAGAAAAUGAUGUCUAAUCUCUAUAUGCUUAGUCCUAGAGUGUUGCACGGGAUUUUUUGAAAUAUUUAUGGCACUAGUAUUAUCACAAUUAAUAGGAACAUGCUCAAAAGAUAAAUCAAAAUCACUAAGUGUUUGUUUCAUCCAAAGAAUUUGUGCACAACAUAAACUGAUUGCUAUAUAUUCGGCUUCUGCCAUUGACAAGGCUAUCGAAUUUUGCUUUUUACUAUGCCAUGAAACAAGUGAGUGUCCUAGGAAAUGACAAGUGUCACUAGUACUUUUUCUUUCAAUCCUACAACCGGAAAAAUCGGCAUCCGAGAAUCCAAUUAAUUCAAAGUUAUUACUCUUAGAAUACCAUAAGCCUAUGUCCAUUGUCCCUUUCAAAUAUCUAAGAAUUCAUUUUACGACACUUAGGUGAGAUUCUUUAGGACAAGAUUGAAAUCUAGCACACAAGCAUACACUAUACAUAAUGUCAGGUCUAUUAGCGGUCAAAUAUAGCAAAGAACCUAUCAUGCCUCUAUACAUAGUUGAGUCAAUGGAUUUACCUUUUUCAUCCUUAUCAAGCUUGAUAGAUGAGCUCAUUGGAGUCUUCAUUGUUUUGGCUUCUUCCAUGUUGAACCUUUUGAGAAGAUUUAUUAUAUACUUUACUUGAUUGAUGAAGAUUCCUUCCUUUAGUUGCUUGAUUUGAAGUCCAAGGAAGAAGUUGAGUUCUCCUAUCAAGCUCAUUUCAAACUCACUAUGCAUGCACUUAGAAAAUUCUUCACAAAGAGAGACAUUAGUAGCUCCAAAAAUACUAUCAUCAACAUAUAUUUGAACUAAGAUCAUAUCCUUUUAUUUGGUCUUUAUGAAAAGAGUUGUGUCAAUUUUUCCUAUUUUAAAACCCUCUUUCAAAAGAAAUUUACUCAAUAUUUCAUACCAUGCUCUAGGUGCUUGUUUCAAACCAUAAAGUGUCUUUAUAAGUUUAAAAACAUGGUUAGGAAAGUUAAAACUUUGAAAACCAGGUGGUUGUUCAAUAUAUACUUUUUCAUUUAUAAAGCCAUUUAAAAAAAAACACUUUUCACAUCCAUUUGAUAUAAAACAAAGUCUUUAAAAAAUGUUACGGCAGGUAGCAUCUUAAUGGCUUCCAACCUAGCUACGGGGGCAAAGGUUUCUUCAUAAUCUAUCUCUUCUUCUUGAUUAAAACCUUGGGCUACCAAUCUUGCUUUAUUUCUAACAAUUAUGUCAUUUCAUCCAUUUUAUUUCUAAAAGCCCAUUUAGUUCCAAUAACACUUUGAUUUGAAGGUCUUGGUACUAAUUCUCAUACUUCACUUUUUUCAGAUUGAUUUAACUCUUCUUGCAUAACAAUCAUCCAAUUUUCAUCAACUAAAAUAUCAUUUAUAUUUUUAGGCUCAAUUUGAGAUAUAAAAGCAAGAUUAUUGCAAAUAUUUCUAAGUGAUGAUCUAAUUUUUACCCCACUAGAUGGAUUACCUAUAAUUUGAUCUUAUGGGUGGUUGAUGACAAACUUCCAAUCUUUAGGAAGGUCUUGGCUUGAUUCACCUUGCUCUUGUUGAGAAGGUGGUAGUGCCAAUGGUGAUUCUUAUUUCUUGGGAUCCUCUCCAAUUUCUUCUUGAUGCCUUCUAUCUUCAAUUUGCAAUUUUCCCAUAGAGGUCACCAACCCUAAAUCAUCAUCAAAACUCUUUUUUUCUUGGAGAGAAUUGUUAGAUUCAUAAAAUAUAACAUGGAUGGACUCCUCUACAACCAUGGUUCUUUUGUUAAAAACUCUAAAAUCUUUACUUGAAGUUGAGUAACCAAGGAAAAUUUCAACAUCCGAUUUUGCAUCAAAUUUUCCAAGAUUGUCUUUGGUGUUUAAUAUAAAACAUUUGCAUCCAAAGACUUUGAAAUAACUAAUGUUGGGUUUCUUGUUUUUCCAAAGCUCAUAGGGAAUUUUCUUAAGAAGGGGCUUCAAUAAUAUUCUAUUUAAAACAUAACAAGAAGUGUUAAUCGCUUCGACCCAAAAAUAUUUUGGUAAAUUGUUUUCAUUUAGCAUGGUUCUAGCCAUUUCUUGAUGAGUUCUAGUUUUCCUUUCAACUACCCCAUUUUGUUAAGGAGUUCUAGAAGCCGAAAAAUUGUGGUUAAUACCAUGCUCAUUGCAAUAUUCUUCAAAAUCAAUAUUUUCAAAUUCUCUCCCAUGAUCACUUUUUAUACAAGUAAUUGUAAAACCCUUUUCAUUUUGAAUCUUAUUGCAAAACUUUAAAAACUCAUAAAAGGCUUCAUUUUUUUUACUUAAAAACAAGACCCAUGUAUAUCUAGAGAAGUCAUCCGCAAUAACAUAAGCAUAAGACUUUCCCCCAAGACUUGGUGUCCUAGAAGAACCAAAUAAAUCAAUAUGCAACAACUUAAGUGGCCUAGAUGUGGAAAUGAAGUUUUUGUUUUUGAAAGAGUUUUUGAUUUGCUUUCCCACUUGACAAGCUUCACAAACUUUGUUUUUUUGAAAAUUAAUUUUGGGAAGACCUCUAACAAGUUCAUCUUUGUUGAGUUGGGAAAUGAGGUCCAUGUUAUCAUGUCCCAACCUCCUAUGCCAUAACCAACUUUGAUCAUGCAUGUUUGAAAAGCAUCUAUCAUGGCCAUCAUAUUUUGAAAUAUUUAUAGCGUAAACAUUAUCACAUCUAUGACCCAUGAAGAUGAUUUUAUCAUUUUGAAUAUCCCUGAUGAUGCAAUGAGAUGCUUCAAAAAUCACUUUAAAACCUUUGUCACAAAAUUGACUAAUGCUUAAAAGGUUAUGUUUUAAACUAUCCACUAAUAAAACACUUUCAAUAAGAGAGGAUGUGACAUUACCAAUGUUGCCUUAACCAAUGAUUCUUCCUUUUGCAUUGUCUCCAAAGGUAACAUAUCCUCCUUUUCUCUUUGUAAGGAAAACAAACUUGGAUUCAUCUCCGGUCAUGCGUCUUGAGCAUCCACUAUCCAAGAACCACUUAUCCUUCUUUGAACCCUACAAAAUAUAACUCAAGUUGAUUUAGGUACCCAUAUCUUUUUGGGUCCUUGAGGGUUAGUGACCUUGGAUUUUUCAAUCCAAACCUUUUUAGUUUUUGUAUUUGAAUUCUUUUGAGAAUCAUUUCUUAAAGGACACGUACUACUAAUGUGUCAUCCUCUUCCACAAAAGUUGCAAGUCAUAGAAGGACUUGCACUUGUAGAUUCUUUUACAAAAUAAUUUUUAAAAUACUUUUGAUUUUUUGAAUAUUUGAAUCCUAACCCUUGUUUGUCAAAAACACAUUUUUUACUAGCUAAAAUCAUUUCAAAAGAUUUUUGUCCACAAGAAAAUAUUGAGAGAGAGGAGGUCAACUAUUCAUUUUUCUUUCCCAAAAUCUCAUUUUCUUUUUCAAGACGAGUUUUAGAAAUUUCAACAAUUGAAAAUUUUUCUUUUACUUCUUAAAGUUCUUUUUCAAGUUCUUGAAUUUAUUUUUAAGAGAAUUAUAUUUAAACUAAGUUUUUCAAAAUCCUCAUACAAUUGCUCAAAAACAUCAUCCAUAUCUUCAUCACUAAAGUUGGAGUUUACCUCAUCAAGUUUAUCUAUUGUCAUAAAGCACAUGUUUGUCACUUCUUUCUUAUUUUCUUCUUCAAAGGAUUCUUCACUUUCACUCCAAGUGACCAUCAUUGCUUUCUUCAUUCUUCUCUUGGCUUCACUUUUGUAGAGAGGACAAUCAUAUUUAAUGUGUCCCGGUUUCUUACUUUUGAAACACACCAAAUCUCUUUUCUCUUCCCAUUUCUCCUUGUCACCAUGAGAUGAAGAUUCCUUUUUAGAAAUGUCUCUUCUAGAGGUGAACCUUCUUCCUUUAAACCUUUCACCCCUCAUGUAUUUAUUGAGCUUUCUUGUGAUGAGGGCUAAAUCAUCAUCUUCUUCACUUGGUUUUUCUUCUUCAAAAUCUUCUUUUUCCUUAGUUGUAGCUUUGAGAGCUAUGUUUUUCUUCUUUUUGUCUUCACUUUCUUGUAGCUUCUUUGCCAAAUUGAUCUCAUAUGUCAUUAAUGACCCUAUGAGCUCCUCUAUAGGUAGCUUGGUCAAGUCUUUUGCUUCUUGAAUUGUGGUGACCUUUGUAUGCCACUUUGAUGGGAGUAACCUCAAUAUCUUCAUCACUUUUUCGGAUUCCUUAUAGGUCUUUCCCAAAGCUUCAAGACCAUUGACAAUAUUGGUGAACCUAGUGAUCAUCUCAACAAUAGUCUCAUUUUCUUUUAUCAAAAACAAUUCAUAGCUAUGAAUAAGUAAAUUUAUUUUUGACUCUUUUACUUGAUUUGUUUCUUCAUGAGUUAUUUCAAGCAAUCUCCAAAUUUCUUUAGCCGAUUUGCAUUGACAUAUUAUAUUAUAUUCAUUUCUAUCCAUAGCACAUUGCAAAGUAAAAGCGACCUUUGCAUUUAAUUGAAAAAUUCUUCUAUCAAGCUCAUUCCAUUCUUGCUUGGGUUUUGGAACCAAGAUUCCAUCAACUAGUUUUGUAGGAAAAGUUGGGCCAUCUUCAAUGACGUCCCAUACGUCUAAAUCGGUUGAUUGUAAAUACCAAGUCAUUCUAGUUUUCCAAUAGGGAUAGUUGGUUCCCGUAAAAAAUGGAGCUCUAUGUUUUGUAAAAUUUUCAGUUUGACAUAAGCUUGAUGGAAUAGUCAUUUCCUCUUAGACAAUUAAGUCUUAAACGCGAGGUCUUGAUCUGAUGCCAAUUGAGAAAAUAAAUAUUAUACUUAAAUGAGAAAAACACCCAAGAGGGAGGUGAAUUGGGUUUUUAAAAAAAAAAUUCAACACAACAAAUUCAAGCACAAUAGAAGCAAAAAUAAAAAGGUAGAGUUUAGAGAAAGCAAACUCAGAUUUUAUAGUGGUUCGACACUUCCUUACCUACGUCUACUCUCCCCAAUCUCAUAACCGAGUGAGGGUUCCACUAACUUGAAGCUUCAACUAAGCUUUCAAUCUCCUUUACACUUGGAUUUUGGCUCCAAUGGGCUUUUACACAAUCUCUUCAAGAUUCAACUCAAUUGAAGCCUUUAACACUCACUUUUUACAAGAAUGAAUCCCUCAACCUAGCUCAAUGAUAGCUCAAAUACAAAUCAAAGCUAGGAUGAAACACAAAGGUGCACUAAAGGAUAUGCAAGUGUAGAUUUAAUGCACCAAGAAAGAAAUGAGAGCUUUUAAGGCAAGAACAAGUGGGUAGACAAUUGAAUGCAAGUGUUUUCUAUGUCAUAAAUGAAGUGGAGCUCUCAAUUUAUAAGUUUCUAACCUCGGGAGCUAAGAAAAACUAAAAGCAGCCUCAAUCAGUCGAGCUGGGGGUUGACCGAUUCACUAGCCAUUGGAGCAUUUAAUGCUUUGACAGGUUACCAUUGCCUCAACCAGAGGUUGACCGGAAAGGAGGAUACCUCGAUUGGGAAGAGAAGGCUACUGGAUGAGAGAGAGUUUUUUUUAACACUCCACGACCGGACCUCCAUGGAACAAGGGCAAUCAAUCGACUGGUUCCCUGGCCGGUUGAGCCGGUUGGCCAAUUCCUCAAUCGGUUCAGCCCUUUGGCCUCGAAAACCUAUAUUUCUCAAUUCUUUUCUUUUCUAACACUUAGGCAAGUUCUUUAGGUAAAUUAAUAUGUCAAUUUUGAAAUGUUUUGCCUAAUGUACAUUUGAUAAAACUCGAGUUUUAAUGAAAUUAUAACUUUAAAGAAUAAAUCGAGUUUUCCAAAGAUGUAUGAAAAGAUAUGUAAAACCUAAGUGCACCAAUGCAUUCAUCUUACAUUUGUUUCCUAUGAUUAAAAGUCUUCCAAAUGUAUCAAUUUUGAAUCCAUUUGGUCAUUUGAUGAAUUUCCAAAUUUAUACCUGAGAUUCUUUACAAUUCAAACCAAUUAGUCACUUAACCAUGGUUUGUUAUCAUCAAAACCUGAUUAAGAGAACCCUUGAGCUAACAGAUAUAAAUGAAAGAAAAUUGAUCUUAAUAUAAAAGUUUGGCUUAAUUAAUUAGAUAAAAAGAAACUAGGAUUAAGGUGCACUAAGAUGAAAUGCAAAUUUUUGGCUCAAAGUGCACUUAAAAUAUUUUUUUAACGGCUUGAUUAAUGAUUAAAAAAUUGUUUGAAACAAAGAUCUCUACAAUAAAUGAAGUAUAGAAGCCUUACAAAGGAGUUGCAUAGGUAAACUGGCUUAGGCACAGUUUAUGUUAAUCGAUUGAUCUAGAUGGUCAUCUUGUUACUUUACUAUUUGUAAUAGGUGUUAGGAUAGAACACUUAAAAAUAUGACAUGAUAUAACAAAAUAAGAUUUUAUUAAUAUAUGUAUUAUGAUUUCCAUUUUCACUCUUCUAUCCUUGAUUGCCUUAAUUAGUUAUCGAAACAUUUAGGCCUACCCUACUUGUGUCAUACAUCAUUAAUACAACCCUUAAAAGCAUGACAUGAAGUGACAAAUUCAAAAUUUAUUAUUUAUUUAAUGAUAUUUCAAUUUUACUUGUAUUUAUCCUUAUUUUAUGCAUUAUAUCUUAUGAACAUUUUGGCCUAACAUUUCUUGUAUUGUAUAUGACUUGGGUGUAUUAAGAGUUAUGCGAGAAAUCCAAGUUAUGGGUUCUUUAUAAGUAGAAGUUUUGUUCAUAGCCGGUUCAUAGAUUUAAGCAAUCCAAUUGAGGUUGUAGUGUGACUAAAACUCAAAUCAUACAUUGGGAUGACUCUAUAAGAGCUUAUUUUAGUGUGCUUGAGGAACUCAUAACAAGCCCACUUAUUCAAUUUGUUGUUAAUGCCUUAGAAAAAUUCUUUUUGAUGGGUUUUGUAAGAUUUAAAGGCAUGUUUGGCACAUUUUCAGCACUUUAUAGAGAAAAAAAACACUUAAAUGAGGACACUAUCACCAUAAGUACACUUUAGUCUGAUUGGAAUCCCCAAUAAUGCACUAAGAAAAACUCUUUUUAGAUUGCACACUCUAUGAGCAGUAGUCCAAUUUGUGCACUUAAGAUUGUGCACCUUUAAAUGGAGACUUGGAUUGCACACUGAAAUAGUUAAUCUACAAUGCACACUCCUUAUUGCACACUGAAUGGUUACUGAUUAGAUUACACACUUAAAUGCACUCAGGUGAAUAACACACCUCGCUUAAGUGACUUAACAAUUACACACCAUUUUAGUGUGCCAAGAAAAAAGUGCACCUUACUAUCUUAGUCUACAUAAAACUCAUAACAUGCAUCAUUCAUAAGUGUGCUAUUGAGUAAUAAAGUUAGCACAACUCAACUAUUAAGAUAGAACCCUUAAAAACAUGACAUGGUGUAACAAAUUCAUUAUUCAUUUAAUGAUAUUCUAAGUUCACUUUUAUCUAUCUUAUUCCAUGCAUUAUUCUCUAUGAGCAUUUUAGCCUAACAUCUCUUACCAUUGUAAAUGACUUAGAUGCAUUAAGAGUUGCACGAAAGAUCCAAGUCAUGGUUCCUUGCAAGUAGAUGAUUUGUUCACAGUCAAUUCGUGGAAUUAGGCAAUCCGUUUGAAGUUGUAGUGUACUACCUUUUAAUUGGAGAGAUGGUUGGCCUUGACCAUCAAGAUGGGGUUCCCAUGGUGAUUGCACUAUUAUGUAAGGUCACAAAUUGGAUGGGAACUAUGGUGAGUCAUAAUAUAAGACUAUCGAGUAGUCAUAACUUCACCAAGCUACUAUAUUGUAUUGUUUCUCAACCUUGAGAUAAUAUUGAAUUUGUUCAGAAGUUAACAAUGACUUUAACCUAUGAGUGAGAUCUUAAAGUGAUCAUAUAUUCCUCAUGAAUUGGGUUAUUAUUGAUGGAAGCUAGGAAAAGGUAUUCUCAAUAGAAGCACUAUGAUAUCUCAUGGACUUUGAGAUAAUGUGUGUCUUUUAGUGAUUUUAAGGAUGUGUGAUCAUGAAAUCUAUGGGUUUGUAGAAAUUCCUUUAGUGGAAUUUGAUAUAUGCUCUUAAUGAGCUAGAAUAUGUCAUUUGAUCAUAUAAUAGAAGGAUUUGUAACUCAAGAAUGGUAGAGGCAGUCUUGAAAGAUUGAUAGUUUUCACUUUGUUAGAUUAUAGAUGACUAGUUCAUGGACCUGAGUACUUGGUGUCUCGUUGUAAUAUAAAUAGAAAAUUGGAGUGUAGUUGACUCUCUAUAUUGAGAUGUUGAGUCAACUUCAAAAUUAGAUUAUGAGGGAAUUAGUAUUAUUCUAUAGGUCCCAAUGGUCUUAGUUAGAACUCAUAUUCCUUAAUGACAUGGUUUAUAGAUUAUAUUUUGGUAUACUGAAGGAGUAUAUAGGAACAUGAGCGUCGUUUGAGUAUUGUAUUGCAGACCCUAAGAGAUAAACGAUUGUAUGUUAAAUUGAAUAAGUGUGAGUUUUAGUUAGAUAGAGUCUCUUUCCUUGGGUAAGGCAUGUGGUAACCAAGGAUGACAUCUCAAUUGACCUUAGAAAGAUAAAUGUUGUAGAAAAUUGGUGGGGACCUAGUAUUAUGAUUGAGAUUCAAAGUUUCUUGAGACUUACUAGUUAUUAUUGGUGGUUCGAGGGGUUCUCUAAAAUUGCCUUACCUUUGACCAAGUUGACUCAGAUGAGAUUUAAGUCUAAGUAGUAUGAUGAUUAUGAACAUAACUUCUAGGAGUUAAAGAGCAGAUUAGUAAUAGCUCAUAUUUUGACUACUCCUUCAUGUUCAAGAGGAUUUGUGGUAUAUAGUGAUGCCUUUCAUCAAGGUUUGAGGUGUGUUCUUUUGCAACAUGGGAAAAUUGUAGCUUAUACUUCUAGAUAGUUGAAGCCUUAUGAGCAAAACUACCCCACUCAUAAUCUAGAGUUAGUUGCAGUGAUUUUUGUACUUAAGAUUUGGAGACAUUUUCUUUUUGGUGAAACUUGUGAGAUAUUCAUAAAUCAUAAGGUUUUGAAGUCCAUAUUAGAGUUCUAGACUCAGGAAAACUUGUGGCGAAUUUCAAAAUACAACCAAACUUGGUUAAGAGAAUUAAGACCAUACAAAAAAAUGAUUUACAAUUAGUGUAACUUAUGGAAGUUAAGAAGGGCAAUAAGCUUAACUUGGUUUUAUCUAAUGAUGGGAUAUUGAGAUUUAGGACUAAACUUUGUAUUAUAAAUGAUGAAGACUUAAGAAGGGAGCUUUUGAAGGGAGCUUUUGAAGGAAGCUCAUUGUUUUAGGCUUGUAAGAUUUUAACCCUUAGAUUAUUAUUUUAGAUUUUUUAAUUAGUUUUGAACUCUUCAACAUUUUUUUUAGAAAAUUUCAAUUUAGAUUAGGGUUAUUUAUUUAAUUUUUAGAUCAAAAUAUUGGAAAUUUAUGAAUAUAGGUUGUUUUAUUGAUGGAAAUAGGGGAAUUCCAAAUAUUCAAAUGAAUAAAUCUAAACUAUGAAAAAAAAAUCAUAGAUUAUAGGAUGUGAAGAAAAAAAAAAAGGUAGCGUGACUUUUGGAAGUGUAAAAAAUAAAUAAAUAAAUAAAUAACUUUGUGGUUGUGCGUAUAUUGCAACUUGAAUAAAAAAAAAAGGUUGUGUGGCAUAAAUAAUGAAGCAAGGUUUGUAUUUUGGGUAUUAUUUAGGAUGUUAAUGUGUUGAUGAUUCUUGUAUAUGAGAUUACUCCUUCAAUAGCAAAAUAUAUAUUUAUUGCAUUUCGUAUGCUAAAAAAAAAAUCCCAAAUAAGUUAAGCCUAGAUAAUAAGUCUACAGAUGAACUAAUCAAGUUAAGUUUUUUAUAUGUUAAUCAAAAUAUUUAUUAAACUACACUAUAGUUAAGUUUUAUAUACAAAGAACUUAACCAAGGUUAAGUUAUUAAAAAAUAAAAAUUCACCUGAACUUAACUGAGGUUAAGUCUCAUUGACAAAUAACAAAAUUGUAACUAAGUCCUCAGUUAAAAUAUUCCAAACCUGCUUACAAUAUAAUUAAUUGAAUUGGUAUUUUGAUUUUAGAAGUAGUUAAAUUUUUUGUAAUGUAUUUUAGUUCAUGCAGAAUGUUUGUAACUCUUAAUAUAUUUUCUUAAUGUGAAGCACAAUGUAUGUGACUUUGCAGGCUACCACUUCUUCAAUAAUCUUCAUACAGAAAAUAUGUAAUGAAGAUCACUUCCCAUCUAAGGUGGCUUGCUUAUCCCACAUUAUUGUCAUUGACAACAUAAAGAACUUGAAUGAAACCCAACUAGAGAUGUUUAAAACCUCUUGUUUUGGCCACUUCUUGGGUAUAUAUGAUUUGAAAUAUUUUGAUUAAAUUGUUUAUAAUAUGCUAUUACACCAAUGUGACAUUAAAAAAAAAUGAGAUGUGGAUACUUGUUCACUCAAAAGGAUUGAGAUUUAGUGCGUUGGAGUUGCAUUGAUAAUUGGGUUGAAAUUUGGGAAAUUUUCACAAUUUGACAUAACAUAUUUAAGGAUAAGAGAUCAAUAUUUCAAUAGAAAGAAUAAGAUUCAUAAUGAUCGAUUAGAUGAUGUUUUCAUCGCAUUAUGUAAGAAAGGAAAGAGAAUGAACACAAAGAAGACAAAAAAAAAAAGGCAAAGUUAAAUGGGAAAUCAAAUCUUGAUAAAGACAUUGUGAAGUUAGCAUUAUUGUACUUUGUUGAGCAUUUUUUACUAGGAAAAGAAUGGAAUAAUUUGAUAGAUUUACAAUGGGUUCAACUUGUUGAUAAUUUAAAGAAGUUCAACAAGUAUCCUUGGGGAAAAUUUUGCUAUGAAAGAACAUUAUUUAGGUUGAAAAGGGCUUUGGACAAAAUACAAUCAAAAUAUGUAGAGAAAAAAAAAAUGGAAUGCAUCGUAUGAAGCAUAUGCACUUGUGGGAUUUCCAUAUGCCUUUCAAAUUUGGGCAUAUGAAGUCAUUCCAUUGCUUGGAAUGAAAUAUGCAAGUCGCAUUGGUAAAAUUUUUCCCAUAAUUUUAAAUUGGACAGGGACUGCAACUCCAAAGCACACUGAGAUUCAAUCAUUAUUUGUAGAGUCAAAUGUGAGUGACAUCUUAAUUUUUGCUUAUACUUACUUUCUUAUUUAUAUAACUAUAAUCUUAUUAUUAACUACUUUCUUUAUAUAUUGAAUUAUUGGUUAUCUUUACAUUCCAACUCAUUCCCACAUUAGAAUAGCGUGAACAAGAGCAUGUGAAAUGUUUUGAAUUCGAAGCUCAGUUGGAUGAUGCCUUACAAGAUGAUGUGAAUGAUUGGGAUAAAGAUGAAGAUCGUGAGGAAGUUAAGGCAUAUAUUGCUGCAGUAACAACAACAAUGAAAUGUGGAAAAAAAGGUGAUAGUUCUAAAUUACCUUCAUUCAAGGUAACUAAAGUGAAAGUUAUUAAUACUAUUUCAGUAUAUAUGUUUAAGAAUGUUUGAAUAAUGUUAUAAUAAUUUUUCUUAUGUAAAGGGAUUGUUUAUGAUGUUCAUUAACUUUCAAGAAAAGACAAAAGCAGAUUUUAAUAAAGUCAAAACAUAAUUGAAAGAAAUAGGAAGCAAGAUUGAUGGUUUGAGUGAGCUAUUGUUGGAUGUUAGUAACAUGUGUUAGAUUCUUAAUUUUUUUUUUACAAUACCAACAAUGCAUUUUAAAAUAUAUUAAUAUAUUUUUAUGCAAUUUCAUAUUAGAAACCUAAGAAGUGAGCCAUAUAGUGCUACAAUGGGGAAUGAUAUGACGAUAAACUUCAAAUCAAAGUUAAGAAAAUUUGAAACAUCGAGAAAAGACAGUAGGUAAGAGGCUUCAGUGGAUGAUGCACUAAAUGAAACACUAGUUAAUGUUUUUCCACGAUCUUAUAUUCUUUAUAUUUUUUGAAUUCCUAACAAUGCCUUUCCGAAUAUAUUUAUAUAUUUCUAUGCAAUUUCAGGUAGGAAAACCAAGUAAUGAGCUAUAUAUUGCAACAAUGCGAAAUGAAACAGCAUUGGACUUCAAAUCAAAGUUAGAAAAAAUUAAGACAUCAAGAAAAGACAAUGACAAGGAGGCUUUGAAGGAUAACCCACCUGAUGCGACAGUAGUUCAUGUUUUCCCACAUCAACUAUCAUCGAAUAUCUUUAAACGAAGAAGAGAGGUAAAGAAAUCUCAUCUACUAUAGCACCCAUUUACAUAAUUCACUAAGAGAAGGAAGUUGUUAAUGAGUAAGACUAACAUAACAUUAUCAACCUUUGAUCCAUUGCAGCCACCAUCAAUGGAGGCAAAGACAGCUUAUACAGAAUAUAUUAAUGAUGAGAUUGAGAAAGACUAAGUUAUCUACAAUAUUGACUCAAUUAAUUUUUUAUAUGUAAUUUAUGAAGUUGACAAAUGAUUUAUUUCCUUAUAUGACAUAAAGGUUUAAAGUGAACAUCGAGUAUACAAAGGUGGACCAAAAAUGGUUUCAGAAAAUAAUGCUUCCUGGAGAAUGGCUUAAUGACUUGGUUUGUGACUAUUGCCUACAUUAUUCAUUAAUAUACAAAAUUUGUUGGAUUACUAAUUAUUAUUCCUUAUAAUUUUCAGCAUAUUAAUGUCACUUUAUACUUUUUUCAGAAAAUGGGGAUACUAAACUCUAAUGUGUUUACACAAAAAUUCGUCACCACUGACACAUUAUUUUUGGUAUGCAUAUUAGUACAUUUUAACUUUGUUUCGCAUUUUUUUUUAGUUAUAUUCACCAUUUUUUAUUAUUUUUUCCGUAUGUGGCAAAAAGUAGAUGGUUGUUGGAGGAUGAAUUAAAAGACAUGGAACAAAUACAUUUUACCGGAAGAUGACAUCCUCAUCGAUUAUGUCAUGGGUAUUUAUCCUAGGCCUUCUUUGAAAUGGUCUAAGGUUGAUGUCAUAUAUGUUCCUAUCAAUCUAAGGAACACACAUUGGGCAUUGGGAGUUUUCCACUUUCGUUGUAGGAUAAUUUACAUUUAUGACUCUUUAAAGUCAAUUAACAAACCUAAUAGAUUGAAAACACUCGUCACACCCAUAGCAAUGUUGUUACCAUCUAUCUUAAGUGCUAUAAAAUACUAUGAGGAGAAUAGUGACCCCAAGGGUGAUAAAGAGUGGGACAUUGAGAGAUUGAACAACAUUCCACAACAAACAAACAAAAGAGUAAGUACAAUAUUUUCCAUACCAACACACAUAUUUCAUGAUAUAUACAAUAAUAUUUAAUAUUGUUAACAUCACAUUUUUUUGUGUUCAUGCAGUAGUGAUUAUGGUAUGUUUUUUUUUUUUUUUUUUAUCAAAUUUUCGGAAUACCUGAUGUACAACCAUCCAAUGGAUAUACUAACAGGCGAGCGGAUGGAUUGGCUUUGUGAGAAGAUGGCAAUGAGUUAUUUUUCCAUAAAGAACUUCCUAUGUGAUCCUACUAUUGUAAAUGAAUUGUAAUUGGAUAGUAGAAGAUGUUUCUAUGUAAUGACAUUGAAGUUUUUUGUUUAGAAAAUUCCUAUGUUAUAGCACGUAUUUAAACAAUCACAUGUUUUUUCAUACAUCCAAAGAAAUGAAUGGUUGCAAUUUUUUUUAUUUUUUUAUUUUUUAUAAAUGUGACUGCAUUAUGAUUGUUAACAAGUUUGAAUUUAUUAUAGUAAGCAUAAUAAUAUAAACUUAUAUUUCAAUGUAGAGCUCAUAUUUUUUUACCUCAAACUUAACGAGUGUUAAGUUACUUGUAAAAUAAACUUAACCCUAGUGUAGUUCAGGUGAAUAUCCUUAAUUAAAACUUAACUCAUACUAAGUUUUUUAUUAAAAAAAACUUAACUUCAGUUUAGUUUAGGACAUUUGUUUUAAUUCAAACUUAACAAGUGUUAAGUUACUUGUAAAUUAAACUUAACCCUAGCGUAGUUCAGGUAAAUAUCCUCAAUUAAAACUUAACUCCUGCUAAGUUCUUUAUUAAAAAAACUUAACCUUAGUUUAGUUCAGGACAUCUGUUUCAAUUCAAACUUAACAAGUGCUAAGUUACUUGUAAAUUAAACUUAACCCUAGUGCAGUUCAGGUGAAUAUCCUCAAUUAAAACUUAACUCCUAUUAAGUUCUUUAUUAAAAAAACUUAACUUCGGUUUUGUUUAGGUAAAUUUUUUUUAACUGAAACUUAACCACUGUUAAGUUUUUUUGUAAAAUAAACUUAACCCUAGUAUAGUUCAGUUGAAUAUCCUCAAUUAAAACUUAAGUCUUACUAAAUUCUUUAGUAAAAAAACUUAACUUCACUUUCAUUCAAGUAAUUUUUUGUAACUUAAACUUAACCAUUGUUAAGUUCUUUGUAAACGAAACUUAACCCUAGUGCAAUUUAUGUGAAUAUUCUCAAUUAAAGUUGUAUAUAUGGAUAAUAUCAACAUACAUAAUGUGUCUGAUCUUAACAUCAAUAAAAGAUUAAAACAUCUCCAAAUAUGUAUGAUCAAAUAUUAAUGAGACUAAUAUUCCAAAAAAAAUAAAGAGUUCACUUGUCAUUUCAAAUGAGUUGAUAUUGAGGGAUGAAUUUAAACUUCAUUUUUAAGCUUUAAGUUCAUCGCUCAAUUAAAAGGGAAUGAAUCAAAGUACAAUUACAUGUUUUGUGCUCCUAUUCACAAUAUACAAAAAAUUACAAUAUCAAAUCUUUUAUAUCCCCAAUCAUCAUCUAUAAAAAAACAACAAAAAAAUUCAUCAUAAAAUUAGCUUAGUGACAGUUUCAUUCAUUCUUUGAUUGUAAGGAGCAAUCUUACAUUCCUAAUUCAGUGUGUCCACUAUUAUCAUUCUGAUAAUGCAAGAGGAUUGGUCGCUUGCAUGACUUUCGGUUACAACCAUAAUCACCACAUCGACCACAACGUCGCUUGCGUUUACUCUCUCCACCUGAAGAAAUUCCUUCCUUACUUGGUCUUCCUACUGACCGACUUGUUUUCGGUGGUAAUACAACUCUAUUUCUUAUUUCAUCAGGUAUCACCCAAUCCCUUUGAUGUCCAGGAUGAUAGAUGGACUCAGCAUAUAAAGAUAAUAAUGAGUUCAUUGUGUAAUAUUUGAAGCAUAAAGGAUAACAUUACAUAUGUGCAUAUCUACAAGCAACAAUAACAUGUGAACACGAUAUGUGAUCAAGAUCAAAACGUCGACAUGUGUAUGAAUGAUUAUGUAAAUUCACAUGAUCACUAACACCAUUAUAUUUAACAUUAUACUUCAUCGAGUUGAUUGCUUCAACUUUGUAUGUUAAUGAUGUAUUGAACCUUAUACGAUGCUUUCCAUCAGCCCAUGUUGUUAGCUCAAUUGUCAUUGACAAUGCUUGUUGUUUAUGGUUUGCAAACCAUUUUUGAAGUAAAUUUCUUAACUCUUCAACUAGUUGCAAAAUAGGAAGAUCUUUUGCAUCUUUUAACACAAUAUUGAGACUUUCAACAAUCCCAGUGGUCAUAAUGUUAUAUUUUUUUUUUUUGCUAGAAUGUGAACGUGCCCAUCGCUCAACACCUGCAUCUAUUAUAUAUGUGGCUGUUCUCGAAGAAAUCAUUUGUAGUUGCCUAAAUAUAACAUUGAAUUCUGAAAAAUGGUAUAUAUAAGCAACAUCAUGAAACAACUUAUGGACUUUGACAUUUUUAAACUUUGUUUUGAGGUUUUGCUUCAUGUGAUAAGUGCACACACCAUGGCUUGCAUGAGGAAAAACUUUUCGUACAACUUUUUCAAUGUUGUUGUGACGAUUUGAAACCACCACGAGAUCAUCAACAUGGCCAAUUGCUCCAUGCAAUUUUUUUAGGAAACAUUCCCAAGAAGCAUCAUUUUUCAGAAUCACCAAUUCCAAAACAUAAAGGGUAUAUCUAAUUGUUUCCAUUCUUACAUGAAGCAAUAAACAAAGUUCUUAAGUACUUUGCCUUAAAAAAUGUUCCAUUGAUUGUAAUGACAUACCUUAUUGAUGUACGAAACCUAGAAAUACAUGCACCAAGUGCCAUGAAAAAAAAUACUUAAAUUGAUUGUUGUGAUCAAUAACUAUAUUAGUAAUGGUGCUAGGAACUUUUUGCUCCAACACAAAACAAUAAGAUGGUAAAGCACUAUAGGACUCAUCUGGUGAUCCUCUAAUAGAACUUAAAGCAAAUUCUCUAAUUUUCCAUGCCUUAUCAUAACUUAUCCCCACACCGUACUUGUUUCGAAUAUCAGCUACAAUGUCUUUUGGUCGAUAUUAAUGACCAACCCCUUGAUAUAUUUCUCUUAUGCUUUCACCAAUCAACCAACUACUUGCAUGACGAUGAUCACGAGAUAUCAUAUCCAAACUACAAGUGUGUGUUGAAUGAUAUUUCCUUAUUUGAAAUAGAUCAGAAUUUCCCAACUUGAUUGCACAAAGUCGCCACUUGCAUUCUUUAUCAACACAUCCAACAUGUAAUAACUUGGUCGAAGAUUUUAAUGUUUUGAAUUGAAACUUUCUUUUCAAAGCAAUCAUGUACGACUUCUUCUGCAAUUCUUUCUUAUUGGAGUAUAUUUGGUGCUCUUCCAUGUAGUCAUCACCAAUUUCACUAUAACCAACUAUAAAUGGUUCUUCUAUGCUUUGUUCUGCAUGACUUUCAUAUUCCAUUACUGCCUCUUCCAUUACAUCAAUUUACAUUACUUGGCUAUCCUCAUUCAGGUUGACAUUCAUUCCACUAUCUUCAUCAUCCUUGUUCAUAUUCAAGUUAUGAGAAUCAAAACAAUUAAGUAGAUCAUAGCUCAACCUUGUUCUAUUUUCAUCAUCAAAACCACUCAAAGAUUCACUACUAUAUAUGAAUAUCGGGUCCAUAUUGAUUUCUUUCUCAACCUCAGAUAAAGUAUGAGAGCUAAAAUCAGUGUUGAUGAUUGAUUCAUACUGAUGAUUGCCAUUUUUUUUCUCUAUUGUGAUACAUAAUGGAACUUGCAACUUACCAUCAGUACAAUUUAAAUGAAUGAAAAAUUUCACAUCUCCAUCAUCUCUUAGUUGUAUAGGAGUGGUUGGUAUAUUGCCAUUGAAUACAUACUUCAUCGAAAGAUUGUGCUCGGUUGGAUCUACUUUCAAAAUGUGACAAAACAAUCUUCAAUAAUUCUUCAUAUGUUGUAGCCUUCUUAAGUUUAAUACCCUUACCUUGGUAGCCUUCAAAGUAGUACAUAUUUCCAUUUUGCACCCAAUCUCCUUCAUAAAGAAACAUUAUUCCCACUUCAUCAAUCACUGUAACAAAAAUAAACAAAUAAAUUGAAUUAUUAAUACAAAAAACAAUAUUAAAAUAAUAGUUAUUUGGAUAAGUAACUCAAUCCUACAAAGUUGUCAAUUAACAUGUUGAAUUGUACUCAACUAUCUUCAAGUUUUAUAUAUAAAAAACAUACGAACUUUACUUUUUUCAUACAAAUUUUUUUAACAAAAAAUUUCACUUAUGUUUACUCUAAAAUUUUCAUUUUUUUCUUUACAACAAAAUAAUGUUGAGAAUAGCAAAACUAAGAUAGUUUUUUUUUUUUUUUUUUCCCCAAAUGGGUUUACAUACUUUCAUUUGACCUCGCCAUAUGUUUUUCUUUAAUCUGCUUUGCUUCUCUUACCUCAGUUUUAAUGGUGGAUUGUAGUAAUGGUGUAUAGGGACGUAUUCACAAUGUUGGUGAGAGAUAUGCAGACAGAUGUAAUACCGAUGAGACAGGUAAAACUAAAAUGUUUUGUUUUUGAAGAGAUAUCAUGUCUUUUGGUAGGGGAUCUUACUCUUCUAUGUUUCACUACUUUUUUCUACCUCUCUUAAUUCAAUUUUAUUGGUGGGUCACAUAAAUGGUGUAUAGGGAUGUACUCAUAGUGUUGGAGAGAGAGAUGUGGUACCGAUGAGAGAUAAAACUAAAGUUUUAUGCCUUUGGAGGAUAUCAUGUUUUUGGAGGGGGAUCUUAUAUGUUUUUGAAGGGAAAUAAAUAAGGGUAAAAAUGUCCAAAUUAGGUCAUCUCUCAAAAUAAUUAACUAGUUAGGUUAUUUUUACAAUUUUACCUAUAUUUUGAGUCACCUAUCCAAAUAACCCAACUUUUAAUUAUGCAGUUACACUAAUUUGGAUUCAGUUCUACUAAUCUGAAUUCAAUAAGAAUUUAGAAAAAGAAAAAUGAUCUUGAAUUACGCUUGGUCUGCAUGAUUUGAAUUGGAGGUUGGAUCAAAUUGGGCUCAAAUGAUCAAAUUUGUCGGAUCAUGCGGAGCAACCCGCCCAACUUGCUGCGUAGGUAGAGACUGGGAGCUACAAAACACUCAAAGCCUCUCUAUAAACCCUUGUCACCUACCAUUUCCAGAAAGCGCGGGAAAAUGGCUGCGGCCGGAGCUUCAGCGUCCGGGUUGAUCCUUUCACGCCCGGUCACCUUCGUCACCGGCAACGCUAAAAAGCUCGAGGAGGUCCGAUACAUCUUGGGCCAGUCCAUACCCUUCAACUCCCUGAAGCUCGACUGUACUCUCUCUAAAACCCCAUUUCUCUUAACAUACCUCCUUCUCUCAUCUCUUAAUUUUCUUUGUUUUUUUUUUUUUUUCUCUUGGAUUAUUGCAUCAGUGCCAGAGCUCCAAGGAGAGCCCGAAGAUAUCUCCAAAGAAAAGGCUCGAUUGGCUGCAAUUCAGGUUUUUCUACAUAUACUUAUUUAUAAAACGUGUGUCAUUAUGUUUUUUCUUUAGUCUGGAGUUUGAAAUGUUUUUAUGUAAUUUUGUGAAAGGUGAAUGGGCCAGUGCUGGUGGAAGACACCUGCCUCUGUUUCAAUGCCCUUAAGGGUCUCCCAGGUAGUGUAUGCACAUUUUAUUUCUUAAUUUUUGUGUUUGAUUUGUGUGCUUUUUGCUUUCUAAUUUUUGUUUUUUUGGGUGAUUGGAACUAAAUGCAGGGCCUUACAUGUAAGUUCUAUUUCAUUCUUGUCCUUGUUUUAAGGUGAAUUUAUUCUCUUUCUUUAUUUUAUGGUUUUUUAUUUUUCUCUAUUUUGCAUGGUUUGUGAUUAUUAUUAUUGUAGGAAAGAAGGUCGGUUUUCCAAAUUGAUGUAAAACAGCACAGAUGGUGUUAUAGAAAUUUAUUUAUUUUUAUUUUUUAUUUUAUUUUAUAUAAAAAAAAACAGAAAUUAUCCUUUAAUCCCUGCUGUGAUCCCUUUCAGUGUACGGUUAAUAUUGAGCACUUCUAUAGUUUGGCUUAGUUAUAGCUGUAGGCUAGUGCAUUAGCUCCCAUGUCUUCGGCGUUUAAGCACAGAGGUAUUAAAAUAUUCCAUUAAGAGGUUAUUGCGAAGGAGCUUAUUUCAUCUAAUUCUAGCAUCUUUUCAUUCUCUAUCCACUUGAAGGUAUAAUGAACAGAUUUUUGGCAUCUUUAAUUCAUUGGUUCCUGGUGGUCAGAGAUUUGAUGGAUUCAUGCAGUACUAGUGUGAACAUUUUCCCGAGCACUAUGGAGUGCUGUUGCAAUAAUAUUAUUUUGAUUUCUAUGUUUCAGUCAAUAAUGGCUUUCCAGUUAAUGUCAGAGUUAAGAUGUCAUUUAAGGGUAGGAAUUUCAAAGUUAUAUUGAAUGGCAUAUUAAUUCAAGGAUUGGUAGUAGGUGUUCUUUUGGGUGAAGGUGGAGGAGCAUCUAGUUGUGCUCCGAUGCUUGAUUGGUUGGACAAAUACUGGUUUGCCCUUUGCAUGGAUUCAACUAAAGAAGAUAAAACAUGACUAGUUUCUGAAAUGGACAAAUCAUUUGGUUUAAGUUAUCACCAAAUUGGACAAAACCAUUAUGGGUUUCCAUCACAAAGCAAGUCUGAGGAACUUCCUAAAUGGUGGGGUUUGAGAAAGAAGAGAUUGUUUGGAUUUUGGACCAUUUGAAGAAGGCUAAGGAGAUGGACAUGUUUUUGGGAUUUAAUAGCAAAUUUAGAGGAAAGACUAGAGUGUGCUUUUAGAGGUGAAGAUGAAAUCCCCAAUGGCAGAUUUUGUGAAUCUCAGUUCAUGAAAAGCCGGAAAAAGCUUCUAAUGAUUAUUUUUUCUCUUUUAUGGGUAAAAGGCAAUAUAUUAAAAAAGAAACUUCCAAAAAGGUGCCCCAAAGUACAUAGGAAGUAUAUAAAGGAUGCUUAAGAGCGCCUCAAAAAAGAAAACGGGGAACAACAAAAAGUAGUACCCACUCAAUCAAAGCCCAACCAAUUUGCAAAAUAAAUAAUGGAAGGACUAAAAACUAUAUACACCUUAACUCAAGCCCAAAGUUUACAAAGGAAAGAAUGUUUAAGCCUUUGGACCAAAUGCCCCUCAUUUUCAAAAGCCCUACUGUUUCUUUCCUUCCAAACAAUCCAGAAAAGGUAUAGAGGAGCAGCUUGCCACACUUUUUUCCUCUUCUUACCCAUAGAAGAACCAUAUUACCCUGAUAACGCCUCUCUAACUGAGAAAGGAAGUACCUGCGACACCUUAAAAAGAGAAAAUAAGUGCCACAAAAUCCUUGCCAUAUCGCAAUGCAAUAGAAUGUGCUCAAGUGUCUCUUCCUUUGAGAGACAUAGGUAACAUCUGUUGGCCAACGACUACCCUCUUCUUUGAAUUCGAUCCAAAGUUAAGACUUUAUUCCAAGUAGCCUCCCAAGCAAAGAAACGCACCAUCGACAACACCUAUGAGUUAUAAAUUGCACUUGCAAGGAAAUACCUUGUCUUUCUGGUUCCAAAGCCUUGUAUAGAAAUUUGAUAGUAAAUUUACCAUAUUUUGAUUUUGUUCAAACCACUUGAUCAUCCACCUUCCUACACACCCUCCUUCCUUGUAGUCUUUGGAAAGAAUUCUCCACAACAAUCACCUCCCAAUUGUUGAGCCAACCAAAGAAUUUGGGAGCCUAUACUCCCUCUUCUGAAUGGUUUCAAACAUCCUCCACCCAAACCUCCUUGGAUGAUGCUAUAGCAAAUAAGGAGGGAAAAGUGACGCACAACGGAUCGUCACCACACCACCUAUCCUUCCAACAUCUCACCUUCCAUUCCCUAUAGAAAAUGCCAUAUUGCCACCCAAGGUAUACCAUUCUUUCCCGAUGGCUUUCCACAACCCUACUUUAUAACUUCCUCUCACAUCAUAGGAGUGCCACCGUCCCUCUUCUACCCCAUACUUACCACAAAUAACUUGCUUCCAAAAAGCCUCCCUCUCCAUUGGAAAAUGCCACUCCAUUUACAUGGGAGGGCCUUAUUGAGCAACAACAAAUUUCUCACUCUUAAGCCACCCUUUCCUUUAUCUGAGCAAAUAAUAGACCACCUUACUAAAUGAGGCUUCCACACAGAAGUCCCUCCGCCCCAAAGAAAAACCUUUUGGAUUUGCUCCAGUCUCAAUCUGACUCUUCUUGGCAUACAAAGCAAAGACAUAAAAUAAAUAGGCAUAUUGGAAAGGGUGUUGUGAAUCAAGGUAAGCCUGGCCCCUUUAGAAAUAUACUGUCUUUUCCAAAUCAAUAAUUUUUUUUGAAGCCUCUCCUCCAUGCCGUCCCAAAUUGCCACAGACUUGAACUGUGCCCCUAAGGGAAGACCCAAAAGUAAGAAGACAGGAGCGCACCAAUCUUUGCAAUCAAACUCUUACACCAGCUCUUCUAAAUUCUCUACUCUCCUUACUAGAAUGCUUUUUUCCAGAUUUGCUCUCAACCUCGACAUGGCCUCAAACCACAUAAAUAACCAACUUAAGUAAGUCAUUUGAUCUAUAGAAGGCUCACAAAAGGCUAAAGUGUCAUCAACAAACAACAAAUGAGAGAUUUCCCCUCUCUUUUUUCCUUUACCUCUGAUCCUCCAACCGGAUAAAAAACCUCCCUCCUUAGCUCUCUUUAGCAAACAACUGAGGGCCUCCAUGGCAAUCACAAAGAGAUAAGUGAAGAGAGGGUCCCGCUGCCUCAAACCUCGAGAGUUUUGGAAAAAACUUGAAGGAGUUUCGUUGACAAGGAUUGAGAAUCUCAUUGUAGAAAUACACCACCGAAUCCAACUGAUCCACUUAACACCAAAACCCAUAUUUUCUAGCAACAAAGUUAAGAAGUUCUAGUUAGCAUGGUCAUACGCUUUCUCAUAUCAAGCUUGCAAAGAAUACCACCGCAUUUACCUUUCUGCACCAAAUCAAUAACUUCAUUAGCAAUCAUAGCAGCAUCAAGGAUUUGCUUACCCUCCACAAAUGUAUUUUGGGAGUUGGACACCACCUUGCCCACUACCUUCUUUAGUCUAUUAGCUAACACUAAAAACUUAUGAUGAUUCUAGAAGGUUUAAAUGGCGGCUAGUGGGAGACAUUGAGAGAAUCCCUGUCAUCAUUGAAUUUGCUUCAGUAUUAGGCUAUGGUCUCAUCAUGAGACUCAAUUUUUUCUUUUGAAGAGACCUUCUUUAAAACUCUUUGAUGAGAGAAGAGUCAUUUUAUAGGUUUGCAGGGAACCUACUAACUCAUCCACUCUCAAUGCAUCCACAUUCUUGCUUAUGACAAUUACUUUAGGCUUGAAUUUCUCAAAGAGAGAUUAGAGGAAGAUCAUAAGAUUUUUCUAAGUACCUUGGAAUUAGGUAUUUUCUCUCGCAAGUUAAAACAAUUAACAAUAUCACUCAAGUUACCUAUUAAAAAAAAAAAACACCAAUAUCACUCAUGUUGGUAUAAAAUUGAAAGAAAGUCUCAUCUUCAUUCAUUCUUAUUCUUUCAAAUUGGACACUUAGCAUCCAUAAUUUGGACAACUUCAUAGUGUAAUUACCCUCAUGAGUUACAAUCAAGAUAUCUCAAGUUUCAUUAGUGUAUUUACAUGUUACUAUUCUUUUAAAUUCAUUAAGACUAACACCAUUAAAAAUAAAAUAAAGAGCCUUAGCAUUAGCUUCACUACUUUCAUUAUCAAACUUGUCCCAUUGACUAAAUAAAUCUUUCAUUUUUGUCUAUAGAUCAGGAGGCAGCCACCCAUAUUCCAUUAUAUUCCAAACAUGCUCUCCUUACCUUUUGGAAAAUACUUCUUUUGAACUUUUCAGGAGGUAGUUGUUCUCAUCAAAGAAUGAAGAGCAAUUAAUGGAAGUUCCUACUUUUUAUGAUUGCAUGAUUCAAGAAUCAAUUAGUAGGAAUAAAAAAAUUUAAUGUUUAAAAUUUUAACACACUUUGAUAUCACUUAUGAGUUUGUAUUCUUGAUCAUGAAACAUUUUGAAACUUCCUAGAGGGAGGUGAAUUGAUAGUCCACAAGCAAUCUAUAUUCAUUUUUUAUUUUUAUAUAUGGAAAUCUUUUGAUCUAUCAAUGAGAAUAAGAACACAAUCACAUUAAAGGACCUCGAAUAUAUGCAGGAAAACUACAUAGAAAGUUUCUCAAAAACUUUAUAGAUGUAAAAAAAAAAAAAAAAAACCACAGGUCUCAUGACUGCAGUCAAAUCCAUUAAACCAAAAGGAAUGUACAUAGUUUUACCUAAUGUAGAGGUUUCUACUUCCAAUGGUCUUAUACUGGUGAGCACCCACAUAGUUCCUUCAUGUUGUUGACGCAACAACUCGUGUUUCUUAGUGGAUACCUCAAUCCUGUGUUGAGACUAGUGGAUCGAUGCAUUUUGCUUUUUUGCCAAAAGGACUUUCAAGAAUGCCCUUGAAAUGUUUGAGAGUUGGAGUGCUAAGGCAGAGAGAUGGCUAUGAAUUCACUUGCAUUUUUUUAAUUAAAAACUUGGGUUUUUAUAUCAAAUCCUAGAUGGAUGUUUGGAGAGUUUCUUAAAAAUUCCAACAAAAAUAUUAAAUAUUUGCUUUAAAAAACAAAAGGAUUGAACUAGCAUUUGAACAUCAUGUAGGAGAUGUUUGAAUGUUGGGUGGAAUUUGAACAUCCCAUUAGAGGACAUUUGAACAUCCCAUGGACGUUUGAAGAUCCUCCUUGAUGAUGUUUUAAUGCUUAUAAACAUUUUUGCAUGUUCGACUUCGCUUUUUGAUUUCUCUUAGAAAUUUCGUCUUCUUUAAAUUUAGUAGCAAUUUCUCUUGCUCUAAUACAUCUAAUAAAUAUGCGUACCUUGAAUUUUAAUCGACUUUGAAGUAGCUUGAAAUCCACUCUAACCAGUAAGACCUCAUAAUUUAUGAUACCUCAGAUUUAGUGUAAUAAUGGAACAAAAUUGUCAACUUAAUCUAAUACAUCAACACUAUAGUUCCUUCAGGGCAAGUGUUUAAGGGUGUUACUCUCCCUAGAUCACUGCCUAGUGUCCCCAUGGAGGCUAUUUCCCUUGUGGAAGAACAAACAUUAGAUCUAGGCUCCUUUGUUAGAAGGUUUUCACAUCGAAGGUCUCACAACUUGCAAAAUAGAAAGUGUUUAAUUUAUUUUGGCCACUAUGAAAGUCAUGCUUGUCAAGUAUAGUGAGAAUGGUCUUACCUUAGGUAGUAGUAGUGUAAGGUCUAACGAUAAAGUAUACUUCAGGAAGAAGGACAAACCUAUGAUCACGAGUAAUGACACUUAGGAGGGCUUGUUUGAAAGGUGAAUGGGCUUCUAACUGGUGGUAUGAGAAUCAUAAAUAGGAAUAAUUGAGGAUUGAGGUUAGAAAGAAAAGAAGGGUAGUUAAGGAAUUUCUCCACCAUGAAUCUCUAGGUACAGUGAUGCUUUAGGAAACAAAGAGAGAGAAGUUUGAUGCAAGAUUUGUGGUAAGUGUGUAGACAACUAGGGAUAAGGAAUGGGCUACUCUUCUAGCUUGUGACGCAUUAGGAAGCGUAUUAAUAAUAUAGGACUCAAGCAAAUACAGUUGUAUAGAAUUGGUGUUAGGAUCCUUCUAAAUUUCGGCUAAGCUAGUUUUAGAUGGAUAACAGGUCUUUUGGAUUAUCUCUAUGUAUCGCUCCAAUGAUACCACUAUUAGAAAGGGUUUUUUAGGUGGGUGUAGUGGAUCUUUUUGGUUUAACCUAUCUGAAAUGGUAUGUGUAUGUGUAUGUGUGUGUGACUUUAACCUAUUUGAAUUCAUUAAAGAAAGUGAGUUAAUCGAUCCCCCCCUUAGGAAUGCUUAUUCGCUUGGUCCAAUUUGCAAUCAUCCCCCACUUGCAAGGGAUCAAAUAAAUAUUUUAAUUUUCAAAUGAGUGGAAGCAAAGCUUUCCCCAUAGUCUAAAAGAAGCCUUACCCAAUUUCACCUCUAACUAUUGGUAGAUUGUCUUAGAUACCAAUCAAUUCAAGUGGGGAUCAACUCUAUUUAGGUUUGAAAACAUGUGGUUGCUCACCUAAAUUUCAAGGAAAGAUUUAGCUUAUGGUGGAAAGAGUUUUAGGUUGAAGGGUGGGAAGGUCAUAAAUUCAUGGAAAUGCUACAAUAUGUCAAAUCAAAGCCAUAGUUGUGAAAGGCGCGCCUAGGCUCUAAGCGGCACAACGCGACCCUCCGGCACCUCUCUUGAAGGCAAGCGACACCCCUUCACAAAGAUACCGCUUAGGAGCGCAAGGUGCUCACCUCUAGCAAGGCACAACGCGGCCCACAAGUGUGCCUCAACCCCUUAUUUCCUUCUUCUUCUUCUUCUUCUUCUUCUUCUGGUCUUCUUCUCUGGUGACGAGUUGCAGAGGGAAAAAAGAAGCCCCCCCCCCCCUUUUUUUUUAUUAUUAUCUGAGACCAAAAUGAUGUUGUUUGGUCUGUUCUUUUAAAAUAAUAGGGUUGUGUCGUUUUGGACCUUUAAUUUUAAUUUUUUUUUUAAAGGGUCAAAACAACGUCGUUUUGGCCCUUUUUAUUUUAAAAAGAACAAGCCAAAACGAUAUCGUUUUGGCCCUGUCUUUCAUUCCAACCCCCUUUUUUUGGUUGUUUUCAACCCGACAACACCCAAAACAUUGCCCUAGCCUCUACUAUGCUGUGAAGAAGCGAAGAGAACGAAGAAGAGGAGGAAAAAAUAGAGGAAAAAUAGACGUACCUUUUUGGGACCUUGGUAUUUAAUGAUGUUUUUGAAUUAUGGACAAAUUUCAUGUUUUGGUUUGGAAACUUUGGAUUUGGAUAUGUAUUAGCAAUCAUGAUGCUUUGUUUUUAUGCUUGGAGUUCUUUAUUUUUAUGUUUUUUGUUAAUUAAAUUGAAGUUUUAGAUAAUAUUUGAUGAUUUAUGUGUUUAGGACAAAUAAAUGAUUAUUAAAUUUGAUUAUAUUAUAUAGAAAUAUAUAUGUAAAUUAGGGUGCGUCUUGAGCCUUUUAAAACUAUGAUCAAAACUAAAAGAAUGGAACAAGGUCUUUUUUGGAGACUUCAAGGAGAGGAAAAAGAAUAUCCUCAAAGACAUAGUUAGUAUUGAAGCCCAUGAACAAGAAGGGAAUCUCUUUCUUGGGGUUUACCUUUCAAGGCCUUAAGGAAAGGUUAGAUGAAAAAAUUGUUGUUAAGGGAAGAGGUCUAUUGUAGGCAAAAAGCUAGGGUCAAAUGGGUAAAGGAAAGGAAGGGAAUAGCAACUCUAAGUGUUUCCAUAGGGUGGCUAACAUAAGGAAAAACAUGAAGUUCAUCAAGUCCUUGGUGAAUGAAAAAGGCGUAGCUUUAUAUGAUAUUGAAAGCAUCUAAGAGGAGAUUCAGAGACUUUUUGAAAAGUUAAAUUCUAAGCCCCCUAGAGAUUCUUUGAGGUAGGUUGGACAAUUCUCUUAUUUUAGAAGAGAGUGCUACUUAGUUGGAUCGCCCCCUUUUUGAAGAGGAAGUUUGUAAAGCUAUCUUUCAAUUAGACAAAGAAAAGGCUUAUGUGAUGGUUUCUCCAUAGCUGUGUUCUAGGAGUGUUGGGAUAUGGUAAAUGAGGAUUUCUUAAGAGUGUUUAUGGAAUGGUGAGGUAAUGAACGAAAGCACUAAUGCUAUCUUCAUUACACUUGCGCCAAAAAGAAGUCAAACCAACAAAAUUUCAUAUUUUUGACCUAUUAGCUUAGUCAUAAGUCUAUAUAAAAUUAUAACUAAAGUUUUAUCAAGUUGUAUACAAGGAGUCCAUAAAACCAUUCCUAUCUUUUAGGGAACUUUUGUUAAGGGAGACAAAUUCUAUAUGCAGUAUUUAAAGUCAAUGAAAUGGUAGAUGGGAAAAGAUGAUUAGGAGAGGAAAGUGUAGUCCUUAAGAUUGGUUUUGAAAAGAUAUAUGAUUAUGUGGAUAAGGGCCUUUUGGAUCAUGCACUAGCAAGGAAGGGGUUUAGUACAAGAUGGAGGAUUUGGAUGAGGGGAUGUAUGCCUUCAACAAAUUUUGAGGUCUUAGAGAGUGAAGUGCUAAACGAUUUAAAACAACUAGAGGUUUAAGGCAAGGAGAUCCAUUUUCACCUGUUCUUUUCAUCAUAACAAUUAACAUUUUAGGUAGGAUGUUGUUGAGAGAGGAGGAGAGUUACUCCAAUUCAGUCUUGUUUAUCUUAACUAGUGUUUUUGGCCUUAAGUAGAAGAAUUGCUCCUAUUUGGUCUUGUUUUUCUCACAUCCCUAGUUACUUCCUUUCUUUGUACAAGAUCCUAUCAUCAUUAAUGACUAAAAUUGAGGAAAUGCAAAGGAAUUUUGGGUUGGUAGGUUAAGAGAGAUCAUUUUAUAAGUAGGGACCAAGUGUCAAGUGGGGUUCGGGAGGAUUUCUUCAAGGAAUAGAACUCUCUUAGGGAAGUGGCUUUUGGAGGGUUUUUAGGGAAAGUAUAGAUCUUUGGUAUAAGGUCAUAUUGAGCAUCUACAAGACACUCCCCAAUUAUUGGGAUGCUAACAUUUUAGUCAGGCAAUUGCAUUGUUGCCCUUAGAAGGUUAUUACAUAGGUUUUUCUAGGAUUUUUCCAAUCAUACCUGUUUUUCAGUUAAGUGAUAUGGGGUGAAGAUUCAUUCUUGGGAAGACUUGUGGUGGGGAAUCAACCUCUUUGUUCUCAAUUUCUGAGUCUUUUUUGAGUUGUAAUAGUUAAAAAUUCUCCCAUUUCAUUUAUUCUUAGCAUCUCUUCCCCUUUUUUUCUUGGAACUAAUUUUUGUUGAAACCUUACUGGCAUGGAGAUAGGAGAACUUGAAAGACUCAUGUCCUCUCUUAAUUGUGUGAACUUAUCUCCAUCUUUCCUAGAUGCAAGAGUUUGUUUAUUAUCGUCUUCAAGCUUCAUUUUUCUCUAGCAAAAUUCAUGUUGAAAUCUAAAGCCCCAUCAAAGGUCAAGAACUUUGUUUGGUUAGUGGCCAACAAGAAGGUCAACACUAAUGACUUGCUUUAAGUGAGAUGACCUUCAAAGCCCUUUAGUCUUGAUCGUUGUACUAUAUGUAUGGGGAGUGGAGAAUUGAUUGAUCAUCUUUUUAACAUUGUUUGAUGACUUUGGGGCUUUAGCAUAGGUAUUCAAACGUGUUAGGUUGUGUUGGGUUCCUCCUAGAAGUAUAAGUGACAUAAUGACUAUCUCCUUUAGGGGUUUGGGGAGUACAAAGUACUAUUAGACACAAAGUUCUGUUGCAAAUUAUUUGUCUUACACUGAUUUGGAUGGUGUGGCGGGAAAGAAGUGUAAGGAUUUUUUAGGACGAUUAGAGAAUUUCGAAAGAUGAUAUAGGACCUAAUUUAUCUCCUUUUGAGCUUCUACUACUACUGCUUUCAAAGUCACUUCUCUCAAUGUUUUUCAACUCAAUUGAAUGUGGUUUGUAGAUCAAAAGUGUUGAAACAAUUAAGGGAGGAACAAUGCUUCGGGUCCUUUUUGGUACUUGUACUUGUAUCAACCCUUGGUGAAUGUUGACUCGCUUUUAUUGUAGAGUCUCAUGUGGUACUCUAUUGAUGUAUACUUCUCCUUAGUAUAUUGUAGACAGUUUCUUUACCUCUUCUUUUGAUCAAAGUUUGUAAAUUUAGGAAGGAUUCCUCAUCGCUUGUUCUUUUAAAUCCAUAUUAAUAAUAUGUUUGUUUCUGAUGUAUAUAUAACUGUUGUCCUACAUCAGAUUUAUCUUUUUAUAGCAAACCUGGCCUUUUUAGUUAUUUUUUAUUCUUUUUAAAUAUCAGCAACAAUCAUUUCAUUUCAAUUACUAAGAAAGAAACAAGAAGGAUAAGACAUCUUUCACCAAUGUACAAUCUGACUUUUGGUAUAAAUAUGCACAUAAAUUCAUAGUGGUUCAGCCUGUAAAAACCCUUGUUUUCAUUUUUUUUUUUUUUGGGUGAAAUUUUUAAAAAACUUGCCCAUUUAUUGUGAUAUGGUUUCAGGAGAGGAAAUCGUAACUCCAGUAGACCAUUCCUCAUUAUAGUUAAAAAGAUUGUAUGUUUCAGAUAUCCAUAGUGUAUGUUCCUGUCUUUUGUAUUCUUUUUGACAAUGUAGUCCUAACAGUUUUGUUGUUUCUUAAUCAUACUACAGCAAAUGGUUUCUCCAGAAGAUAGGUCAUGAAGGUUGUAGUUUUCUCUGAGCUUUGUUCUCUUCCUCUGUUUAUUGCUCUUUGACAUUUAUUUUUGGUCAAAACGCCUUCUUGGUUCUAUUUUACCUGAUCUUCAGCCACUUUUUGUAGGUCUGAACAAUUUGCUGAUGGCAUAUGAAGAUAAAUCAGCUUAUGCUUUGUGCGCUUUUUCUUUUGCUCUCGGUCCAGAUGCUGAACCAGUAACGUUUCUGGGGAAAACUCCGGUAUGCUUUAGUAGUUUUAAAAUGCCUGUCUUCCUGAAAUGCAUCUUGAGAACCCCAAGAAAGAAGUUCACAAAGUACUUAUGAUUAUUAUGUAUUUGCUUGAAAUAUUUAUCAUAAGCUUCAUCGUCAUAAUUUUGCUGCAUUUUUUUUAGUCAAAUGGGAAAGAUAUUAAGCAGGAGCCAUAUAAUGGGAUGCAACCUUGGUACACAAAAUAUAUAUGAGGAGCACUCACUUGUCUGACAGGAAAAGAGAAAAACAUGCACAUCAGUCCUCAACAGAGAGCUCUAACGUUAACCUAUCUAUAAAAGCUAACAUGAGAAACUCCCAUCCACCAAAAUACAUCCAGCAGAGUUUUCAGAACAAGGUCAUUCAGUUUCCGAACCAACAGCUCUGCUGCUUCAAAAAUCCUUAGUGCUCUUUCCAUAAGCUCCAGAUAAUACUUAAUGAGAUCAUCUUCCACACUGUCUGCUCACCUUUCCCCAAGAAUAACCAUGCCAACUUGUAGGGUCUUCUUUAUUGAGAGAUGACAAACAUAUUAUAUAUUUAGGUUGUCCUUAGUUCAAUUCCUGAAACAAGGUAACUUCCAGCAAUGGACCUCCUAAAAGGGCCUUUUAAGAAAAUAAUAAUUUGGCUGAUAGAUAGUGUUAAAGUGUAUUUGCAUUAGUGGGUAUUUUGAGUCGCAUUAAGGUAGCAUAUAACAUGAUGGUCUAAAAAUUGAAACAAAUGCAGUUUAACUAAAUGCUAGACAAGAAAAUGGAAGGCAACAUUUUAAUUUUCAUAAAUUUUCUGUGGUAGAACCACCUGGUUAACUAUGUGUACUUUAUUGUUUGUGCACAUGCACAUUUGCACACAAUGUUCUCUCAAGCAUUGAAUGGUAUAAUUCAGGACCAUAGGGUUAUCCUUUAAAAGCUUAUCUAUGGACUUUAGGAUUUUUUUUCUUGUUUCUUGUGAUGAAGAGGAAGCCCAGGGUAUAUAACUUCAUUAGGAGGAUCAAAGGAUUUGCGAGUGAUUAUGUGGCAACCGUUCGUUGGAAGCUUUUGUUUAAUAAGCUGGCUGAUGCUCUAGCUAAGGGCAAAGCUUGGUUGAAGAAUGCCUUUUAUGUUGAGAUUAAUUCUAUAUCAACCACAUGACACCUUAGUUUUGUUCAAUUUGAUCAGCUUGAAUCUUAGAUUAAGUUGUCACCUCAACAAUCGCUUUGUGCCAUGUACUUGAACUUGCUUCAGCCCUAGGUUUGGUGAGAAGAUGUUGAAGCUGUUGAAACUGUGAUUUGAAGAGAUGGAGAAGAUCCAGGAGAUGGUUUCGUAAAGGGGAAGUUCUUGGUUUGGAGUUGUAUUGAAAUCCUUUGAGAUUUCGGUGAAGCAAGUCAAGGGAAAGACGGUGGGCAAGAUAGUGGAGAGAGGGGUCGGGUGUUUUCCAAUUGGAUUAGAUUUGGUGAGAAUGGGCUAGCCUGGUUGCUGGAAAGGGUGAAAGCUUGUUUUUUUCUAUUAGAACAAAAUAUAUAUUGAUAAUAAUAAAGUUAAUGAGAAGGAUGAGAGGUCCUUCCUGCCAGGUGCAAAACCUGAUCAAAGAGCAUACCCUCCACUGUACAAGGAGAAAUACUAAUAAAAGCAUGUACAAAAUAAGUGGUUGGGUAAUCUGUUUUGCUAGGGUGUUAGGGGGUGGGAUUGGUUGGUUUUCCUUGUUGUUCUCUCUACUUUUCUGUCGUGGCGCAUUUGUAUACUACGUGUGUAUAUUGUUGCACCCUUUCUUUGGGCUUUUAAUAUAUGCUCUCAAUUUACCUAUAAAAAAAAAAGUUGUCACCUCACUACUAAACUCACUUAUGAAUUAAGAAAAACUCCGUCUACUGGGGGUAGAACUGUUGCCGCAUAUUUGUGCUUAUAUUCUCCUUUUGCGCCAUAUUUGUGUAAUUGUUGGCUUUUUACCUCAUGGAGCUUCAUUUUGGUUCAACCUUGUCUAUACAUUUGUUGCAUUGGCAACUUCUUCAUCAUAGCUCUUUCAAUAUAACAUAGAAGGUUACAUCUCAGUGAUUGUAAGACGUUUAUUGUGGGAAUCCAUCAUUAUUUUAAUGAGUAGACGUGAUGGGUCAAGAAGUAGUUGCUGCCCUCUACAAAAUAUGUAUCUGAGGUCGGGUGACUAAGAGAUGAUGUUUGCGCUCAAGAAGUGUGCUUAAGAGUUGUGGGCUUCCACUCCACCUGUGGGGUAAGGAUGUGUUUUGAAAAAUUAGGAGAUGCCUUUGGGGGGUUUGUAGUGGUGGAUGAAGAUAGGACAUUUCGCUGGAACUUGCAGUGGGCCAGAGUUCUUGUCAGGUCUAAUGAGAGGAAGGUUCCUGCGUCUUUACAGGUGGUGGUGGGGAGCUUUUACCAUGAAAUCAGCUUUGGUGGGAGACUUUGCAAUGGAUGUGCUUAGUUGAACUCAUGGUGUUGUGAAUAGAUGGUUAGGGAAGAGAUGGGGGACGGCCCAUGCACGGUGAGAAUGUUGGGGUAGGUGAUCUUUCUUUUGAAAAGAAUGAAGGCCAUGUGUUGAAUGUGGAGUUGCUGUGUGCUGCAGAUGGAAUGGUUGGCUCUGACAUUUCAAGCAUUUGCAUGCAAAAGGGUUUAAUAGGGCCUAUGGAGUGUUGGACCUACCUCUUGUUGACACUUCGGUAAGGACUUGUUUGGAUGUUGCUAUGAUGAUGGGCUUCAGGGACUUGAGUUUGGUCCCUCAAGGAAUGUUGGGUUGAGUUGGGCCCAUUGCAUGAGGUAGAGAAGGCCUAUGCUGCCCCCUAUUUCAAGCCUAGUGUGCUUCAAUGGACUCUAAUAUCCCAAACCCAUACUGUUUUUUAGGAGAAGAUGGGGCUGGUGAGCAGGGCUUUGCUGGGCCGGGGUCAGAUGUAGUCUCCUACAGCCCAUCUUUGUACUCUAGUAUGGUGGGUCAAGUCUUAAUCUUUUAAGGGAAGCCCAAAGUGGUUUUCUUUUAUAAAAGGAGGAACACCCCAAGGUUCUCACUCUGGUACACCGUGCUGUGCUUCAAUGAGUAAUGGGUCUGUGCCUUUUGACCCAGGCUUGUAGUUGAUGCCCCAAGGAGAAGGGUGAAGGAACUUGUCAUUGAAGAUGCUCUUUUGGCUAUGGUAGCUAGGUCUAAAGCUACAUCUUCGUGGCCUGAAGCUUCUUUGGGUGCCUUCUUCUUCUUCUUCUCCUUUCUCUAUGAAUGGAUGUUCAGACUAGGGGUUGGGCUUUUUCUUGACCCUUAGAGGGAGCAAAGCUGGGUUGCAUUAACGGGAAUCAUUGCAUCAGGUAGUGGGCCCCUGAGGAUGAUCCUUCAGGAUGGCUCAUCAAUGGAGUUUCCAUAAAAUUUCUCAAGAAAGCCAGGGUGUAAUGAUGUCGAACAGAGUUAAGGGAAGGUAAUCUCAAUGCAGGAGCUCAAUAGCAGUUUUCGAGAAGAGGGAGUUUCCCUCUGUUUGAUCUUUCAGCAAAAUGUCUGCCUUGAUAUCUUUUGUGAGAAUGCCAAUUAAGGGCUUCGAAAUGGAGAUUAUUUCCCUACUGGGGAAGUUGGAGACCAAAAGAGGUGGUAGAAGUCCUAUGCUUGGAAUGAAGAAGAAGUUGGGCCUUUGGUGUUGCAUUCUACAGUUAGAGGAAACCUCUUGUGUUGGCUCAAUUCAUUCAUGGAGAAGAAGUAGAAGAAAGCAUGGAGGGUCGCCCCCUUGUGCUUGUUUUGGACUUUAUGGAUGGAAAGAAAUAGGAGGUUGUUUAAUGAUGUCGAGCAGUCGGACUAAGUUAUAAAAUCUUAUUUUAUGUCUAUUUUUUUGGAAUAGGUUAAAGUGUACAUAGGGGACCAUGCAAUGUCCUUGGUAGACUUUGUAGACUUUGAGCUUUAUGUAGUGUGCUUCAUGUGUACUUUGGUGCAUCUCCUCUUAGGCACUUCUAAUAUAUUUUCUAUUUGCCUAUCAAAAAAAAAAAAGAAAAAAAAAGAAGUGCUGUAAAAUUAGUUCAUUUUUUAAUUCAUAUUUUACUUUCCCACUUUAUUUGUUUUUUAGUUCAUGCAAUAAAUAUGAUAAAGGCAAAAAUAAUAUAGACUUAGUACAAAUUUCAGAUAUUAUAAGAAAAUAAUUAAAACUUCAAAUUCUUUUUUAAUUGUAUUAGUAUAUGAUUUAACAUUAUUAUAUGUUAUCUAAAAAUGCAUUUAUAUUAACCUAAAAUAUAUAUAAAAUAGUCACUUGUAUGUGUUAGAUGGGUGGUCUUAGGUCAAAUAAAGAUUUCUUAACCCAAACUUGCAUUUUUUUUCCUUUUUUGUUUGUUUGUUUUCUACCUUCCACCACUCUAAUGGUUUCCCUUUACACCUGUUAGCUAGUAGAACAAAAAACCUACAGCUAUACCAUUAGAGUUCCACUGGCAAUGCCUCCUUCAAGGUUGCCGAGGUUGCAAAAAGAUACCUAUCACCAACCUACCUACUGCUACAGCUGUCACUAUUUUGCCAUGGUUGCCAUUACUCUAUUAAGGCUAGCACUGCUAACUCUCACAAUUCAAAGACUCCUACCACUCUCAUGGUGCAAGGAAGAUAUACCUACCACUGUUCUACCAGUCACUGUAGUUAUUGAUGUCAUGUGUAAUUCCAUUUCUAUGAGACUUUUAUAGGUGUUUCCUCCUGGUUCCCUUUCCCACAUCCCAUGGAAAUGGUGGCUACCUAGUGGCCACCAACAUGCUAAAAUGGGCAAUGGCAGUCACUUCCCACUUUCACUCAUUGGUUUUAUUAGUUUAUUCUAACAUUAUCAAAGGUGCCUCUAAUAACUGUCCUCAUUCUUCUCUACAAGGAGCAUCCCUAGCAUUUCCUCUUUUGUGCUAAAAGGUAUUUCCUAAAUGUUGCUCAGAGGUGCCUAAUGGCAUAGCAUCCAAAAGAUUUAUGCCUGCUUCAGUUGGGAAUAGCCCGUGGGGAGCCAAACAAAGCUUGAUGCACCUCAGCAAGGGGCUUGUCCCACUCCAAGAUCAAGUAUAUAGGAUAGUCUAAAGGUUCUACAUUUUGCAAUUAGAGUUUGCAGUUCACCGAACUUGUAUUUCCCCAACACUACCAAGCCCAUUUCAUUUGGAUUCAGAGAUGAGGAUCCAUUGUGUGUGAUACGUCACUGUCACCCACAGUUGUUAAAGACAAACCAAAGGCCUAAGGCACGGUGAUGCCCUAGCUGUGGCUCGUUACCUUCUAAGGUGUGUGCCUUGUUGGAGAGGUGCGCCUCAUCUAUUUUUUUUUUUUCCUUUUUUUUUCUUUUUUUUUUUUCAACUCAGGGAAAAACAAUGUCAUUUAUUUUUAACCAAUUGUUUUUCCCUUCUUGUUUUAGAAAAAUUCAAAGGCCAAAAUCUUUGUGCUUGUGGCAUUGUGUUCAAAUAUUUCCACACCUAAAAAGUACUUGUAUAUAUCUCUUGUUUUUAAGCCUCUCAUCAUCUAAAUAGCAAAAAUGAUCUUUUUUUCCCUGUUUUGCAUACUUUUAUUCUUAAAAUGUUGAGUGAAUAUUAUAUCAUUGUAUUAUUUUUUUGUUGGAUUCUUCUUUUUGAAUGUUGGAAUCUUUAUUUUUUGUUUUGUUUUGUUUUUCCCCCUUGGAUUGGAGGAUCACAUUUGCUGAUAAAUAAGCAUAUGAACAAAUAUUUGCAUGGAUACAUCCACAUUAUCUUAUAAAAUUGCACUUGUGUCCUAAGUUGUGCUUCUUCACUGAAGUGUGCACUGCAGAUUCUGUCUUUUACACUUAAGCCUUUUAGAGAGCUUUGCACCUUAGAUUCACCUUGCACUUUUUAGAAGUAGGUUGUCACUUUAUUUUCUGUAGCAAAGGUGAGCUGGUUAUGCACAUGGUGCUAUCUUAUUGGCUAGGUCUGUUAGCCCAAACCAAUCUUAUCCAAAGGACCACUAUACAUAGGCCCAAGGGUUAUCAUUUGAGGGAGUUUUUAGAUUUUUCUAGAAUUAAACCUCUGUGCUUUAGAAGCUGAACCAUUGAGUUCUCUACUUGAAAGCUUUCAGAAAGCCACAAGUAAUCCCACCGACCCCCCAAUAUGUCUUACUCUUCUUCAGUCCCUCUUGAAUUGGACUUCAACACCCACAUGGCCAAUCUCCUCUAGCAGAGAUCCUACUGCAAAUGCUACUCAUCAACAUCCUGGUUGGCCAGAUCUUAUUUAAUUGCCUUUUUGUUGUUGGUGCAGGUAGAAGUAGCACCAGUAAACUCAGUUUUGCAAUUGACUGGUGGUUUACAAGUUUAAACCCAUGAAUGUUGCUGAAAAUUUUCUAGACUUGUGUAGCUGCUUCACCUUGAAAUAGUAUGGCUAUUUUCUCCAAUUUGGGGUUCAUUAUAUGAGUAUGUAGAAGCUCCAUGAGCUUGAAUCCCUUGAACAUGUGUUGACCUAUUGGCUUCAGAAACACUCUUUUCUGAAUCCUUCCUAUUUUAUUCCUACUUUUAUGUAAUUAAUUAUUAUUUGUUGGGGCUCUCCUUCAGUUAUUUAACAAUCAGGAUCUCCAAUUAGGGUUUUCACUACAUUAGGAGCAUCUAGAAGCUCCAUGAGCUUGAAUUCCUUGAACAUGUGUCAAUCUGUAGUCUUCAUAAACACUUUUUUGUGCAUUGUUCCUAUUGUUCUCUAACUUACACACUAAUGAUUGUUGUUAGCUGUAUUGCUCUAGAUUAAGAUGUAAAAUGCCUGGGCCAGCUUUGGUUGGUCUGGGAUUUUAAUUUCCAUCCCUGGCUUUGGCCCGUAGGCUCAAGCCCCUCAAUAAAGGUUGGAUGUCUCUGGGCCGAAUUUCAAGCCUUCAUGCCCAAUUUACAACAGAUUAGUUGCUAGCAUCCUUGGCAUGCAAACUAGAUCUAAAACUCUUAACAAAUUUUUGCACAGAAGGGAUCAGUAACUUCUGAAAUUCUGCAUCUCUAUAGUUAUUUUCUAAAACAAUUUUUAGUCAUUGGACUUUGUGGUACAUACUCUCUUUAAUUCCUGUACUUCUCUGCACGAUGAAGUGCUAAUGAAAUCCCAGAAAAAUAAUAUGAUCUUGUGUUCUGUUCCAUUUCAAAUACCUUUUAGAACAGUGAAUAUGAAUCUCCAAUGCAUUUAAUGAACUAGGGAUCUGCAAGCUAAAAGAUUUUUUUUUUUUAAAAUUGGAUUUUAGUAGCUGUCCCCUUUAUGCACUAAUCUCUGCUUAAUUUUCUUUGGAAAGUAGGAGAAUUUGGUGCCAAGAUAAAUAACCCUGGAACAGAUGGCUAGAAAAUCCAAAAAGAUAAUCGGAUUUACCUUGAGCGAAGACCAAGAACCAACAACAUUUAGCACUGCUGCACUAUUUAUCUAAUGUUGUCCGCAAGACAUUGUCAGAACAAAUAUUGUAGUCCGUCAUAGGCUUUGACCAUUUUGUGGUCAAUGUUAACACUGGUAAAUGUAAUCCUACUUAAAAAUUGGGAAUGUUCCCCCAAUUUUUUGUUUAGAAGUAAUACUGUUAUGUUAGCCUUUCACAGUGCUUUCAUCAGUAGAGAUCCAUGAUUGACUAACAUGUCUUCGCAUGGUCAUAUGUUCAUGGUAUUUCUAGUUUUGGACCAUGUCAGGACCUGCAUGUAUUGGAAAUUAGCACCCUCCCCAUUUCUCUAGUUAUUAUUGCCAGCAUUUGUGGUUCUCCCGUGACAGAUUCAUGAUUCUGUUGUAAUAGAAUUUUCAAUCUUACUCGAGGACACUUUGUUUUAACUAAAAUCUGUAACAUUGCAUGCAAUGAUUUAGAACCAAGGAAAAGACAAAAAGGCAUUCCAACUAUAGGCUCUAGAAGAACAAAAUAUGAGCUUGUUGCUUCCCUUAGUUUUCAAAUUUACUAAGGCAUAUGUAGUUAUUCUUCACUUAGAACUCGACUUUUUCUCUGCUUUAAUUAUAGUGAAAUGUGUGCAUGCUUGUGUGUGUUUUUGGGCUAUGGGGUGGUGGGUUGGUUGUUGGUCAUUGUUGCUGGGUUGUUUCUAUUGUGAUCCUUACGCAAUGACUUCCUAGCUUAGCUAGAACUUGGAUUUUUCACACAACUGCUCCUUGCUUGUAAGGUACAAUGUGUGUCACUCGUGCAUUACAAGCGCUGAAUGAUAUGCAUGUAAAGUGAAAUUAUCAUGAUCAAUUCCCAACAGUUUUUUAUUGUUAUUUGGCCUGAUUGUUUUGCUAAACAAUGGACCAGAUCUGCUAAAAAAGCAACAUUUUUUCAUUUACCUCUUCUCAUUUGAUAUUCUUUGGCCUUGCAACCUGAUCUCCCUUGUCUUGCAUCGUUUUCUGUUGUUUUUUUGGUUUUAUGCAGUUGUGUCUAUGGAAACAUUACUAGCACUAAUGUUUUGAUAUUUCGCUGACAUUUUAGGGGAAGAUAGUUCCUCCAAGGGGACCCAAUGAUUUUGGAUGGGAUCCAAUCUUUCAGCCAGAUGGAUAUGAGCAGACGUGAGAUCAUCCUUCCUCUUUGCUUUUCCCUCUAGUUUUAUGUUGCAAUGGUAAUCAUCCAUUCCCAGUGCAGCUAAAUUAUGUUAUUAUUUUGAUUGCAGUUAUGCUGAAAUGCCCAAGGAAGAAAAGAACAAGAUUUCACACCGCUACAAGGCUCUUGCACUAGUAAAAUCUCAUUUUGCUAAAGCUGGAUAUGUUUUCCAGACAGAUUCCCCUAUUUAAGAGGCAGCUAUGUAUUUGCUUUGUUGCAAUAAGAGUAGCACCCUGGUAAACAGUUGGAUGCUCUUUUCAACAGUGUCAAUUAUUCCAUUUUCCCUAAUCAGUUAAGGGAUGGAAAGAAAGAAUGGCCAUUGAGUAUUUUGAUAGUGUUUGCUGCAUAGAGAAACUCAGAGAGGAACAGAGAAUAUACUUACUUUCUACCUUAUGGUGAAGUCAAAAAGUCUUGUAAAAAUGAAGCCCAAAAUACACUUAUUUUUCAUCAAUAUAAAUCUCAUCCAGCAAGUUUCAUUACUCAUUUGCUUUAGUUGAAAAACAUUCAUAUUAUUUCUAGUAGACCAAACUGCAGUCUUUUUAUUGACCAUGAAUGAUUUAUCUUUUAUCAGAUACAUGGAUCAUGGUACAAUGAUUGAAUGAAUCCAGUAAGAAACUUUUGAUUCGGUCGUGUGUUUUGUAAGAUGUUGUGAAAUUUAUGUGGAGCAUGAAAAUGUGUGGAUUGAUAUACUAUUGAUUGCCACGUUUUGUUUGUUGGAUGCUACCAAGCCUUGAUUGCUAUACGAAGCACAGAUGGCCCCAGUCAAUACUCUCUGUUGCUUACGAAUGUGACAAUGCUUCUGAUCAAGGGCUUAAUUUAAUUUGCUCAAGUGUCACCCCUAACCCACUACUUAAUGGAGGCUAACAGAAGCAUCUCCACUUCUCUCUAACAACCUUGUGUUGAUAAAUGGAGGGUGUUAAAUUUAGGAGACCGACUGCGAUGUAAAAGUUAGAAUCUGUUCUCUAACGUAAAAUCUUAAGAUAUGAUGUUGCUGUUAAGUGAAAUGAGUUUGUCUUGCCAACCCACUACACGCCUAUUGAUGAAGAUUCUGAUUGCUUAUUAAUUAUGGAAUGCUAUUUUCAUAUCGACAAUUGUGUCCAUAUCUCAACAUGAAUGCCACCAAAUGUUCAGUUAGCCAAACUGACUUCCACAUGAUUAUGUCCCGAUGAGAAAACAACAUUUGAGAUAUUUUUCAUCUUUCAUUUUCACAAGCAUAUUUCACCAUAGCCGUUUUCAGAUUGAGGCCAAAAAGGUGAAGCCCAUUGGGGGGGGCUCCAACUCCAACAGAGAAGAAAGGGAAAUUCAUGUGGAGAAUGAAGGAGUCUGUGUGAAAGAAGAUGAUGAUGCGUGAUAUUCAUAAAUAACAUGGAGGGGGGUGGCGUGACAUAUUGGACAACGUUGGGCUGUCCACACAUGCAUAGUCAAUUCAUCAUGUGCAAAUUGGGCCCAAGCACCUCUCUCUCACAUGCAACAGUGGGCCCCUACCCACCCUUCAAGCCCAAAUGGACGACACCUUAGAGACUGGUCCCAAUAUCUAUUCUUCCAUUUUGGACAACGGCUACAUUUGUGAGUCUCUGUGUGACUUUGUCUCUUCCAGAUUUAGGCUCCAUCUUCGCUGCAUCAGCCGAGUAUAAAAACACUUUCAGGUGCAAGUGGAUUGUAGACCACAAGCUCAAAGCUUCCCUUUUUUUUUUUUUUUCCAAGCUCUUGCGUAGAAGGGACAUAUGUCUGAAGGUGGAAGUUGUUAGCAAAUAUCGUAGGUGGUGCUACUAAUCUAAUUAAAGAAACAAAUUUCACGUCUCUCUUUCUUGAGUUAGACUGAAUUUCAAACACUGUCAUUUACAAUUUUCACUUCAGCUUUACUGUGGGUGUCCAAUUUUUAAAUUUUGAGACAAACUAAACUCAACCCCAUGCUUUCCCCUUCUCAUCCCUAAAUAUUCACUGGUACGUUUGGCUUUCUUUCAACGCCUUUUCAUAUCAACAUUUUAGCCAAUGAUUUCAUUUCAGCAUAUUCUUUCACAACUAACAAUUUCAUAUAUAUUAAGCAAUGCAAGUCCAAUAUCUGCAGCGAUCACCAUAGUGUGCGUGAAGUAGGAACUUUUGUGGUAGUUUCCUCUCAAUUUCUAGGCUCGGUCUUGCGCAUGUGCAUGUAAUGCUGAGAAAAAGACAAGUGAUUCAACUUCCUCAUUGGACUGACUGCCCAAGAGACCCUUGCGUGGUGUAUUCAUGCUCCGCUCCUUCGCCGAAACCUCCUCUCAAAGAGGGCACCGCUCAUUGAGUGUACGAAAGCAUUCCCAUUAACUAUUGGCUAGUAAAAAACCUUUUGAGUACCAUACCCAUGAAAAACGAUAACCACCAUCACAAAAUUCUGCAGGGAAAGGCGGAACACAAACAGCGUUGUAUACGUAUAUAUAUCCAUGUGGAAAGACCAGAAUUACACGCCAAAAGAAAGAAAAAGAUGGCUCCCAUUGACAAAAAUAAAAAGCAAAAAGAAGAAAAAGGAAAAGAAAGUAAAUAUAGGACCUUCCUGCUAUGCAUCAUCUGUAACAAAGUUUUUUCAUAACACCAAGUUUGACAUUCAUACACUAUUGCUUGUAUGACCUAACAAAAGUAAAUAGGAAAAAAAAGGGAAAAGGAAAAAGUAAAAGAAAAGGAAAAAGAAUCACAAAAUCAUUUAGCUCCUAUAAACCCCAAAAGGCAAGCCAAUAUGUAGCAACAGAGACAGAGGGGGAGAAAUGGAUGAUGAGGGAGUGGAUGGUGAAGAGAGGUGAUUGAUUGGAAGAAGCUAGGAAAGACACAAAAGACGAGAAAAUAGAAAUGAACAACGCUACCGCACCUGCUCCGACAAUGGCACUGUUUUCUUGGGUUGAAGCAGGGGGAGGUUGCGCAAUCACAGACACACCGAGUGGAAUAAGUGAACACCAGGGUUUGACAAUUUGAUGACAUGUGUAAAAAAUGUACACUUGCCCAAAUCAUGAUGAUAGGAUAGAUAGGGAAGUAACAAAUCGCCUGAAUACGGAUAUUGGAUAAUGCUAUAUGGUAGUAAAAAUGGAUAUCUAAGAGGGGAAAAAAAAUGACCCUUUCUUCUUUUUUUUUCUAGGCAUCUUUUUCCCCAUUCAAUUAACUGAGAUUUACUAGCACUGGGAACCCCUGCGGCAGGAGAGAGCACCAGCAUUGGAAGUAAUGGAGCCAACCAUGGAAGAGGACUUGGCUCCCAAGCUUGAAGCUCUAGCAUAGCUGGCUGAGGCACCGGCACCAGAUGGGGUGAAGUAGGCUCCAUUCAACAGCAGGUCUCCUUCUGACCUCCAAUUCCAACCCUUCCACUGGCCUGAAGGCGUGUCUACCCUUUUUGUCACCUGUCCAAGACAAAAUUUAUCAUCAACAAACAAAACAAUCAAGUAUGUGAAGGGCAUUGAGAAGUCAAAUUUUAUAGUUUCAUCAAUGUGAGAUGCAGGGGUCGUGAUACCUCUUUUGCAAAAGGAUUGACUGGUGCAAGAUAUCUGUUGCCCUGGCUGUUGAUGGUGGGGCUUGCACUUCCACCAAUAGCAUACAUUUCCCAGUGAGUGUAGUCAUUGUUGACCACAUGGAAAUAUCCAUGUCUGCACCUGCAUAUUUCAUAAAAUUCUUUUAUAUCAGAUACAAUUCUAGUUGGAUAAAAACACACAGAACCAAAAGCAACCAAAGACAGUUUGAACAGAGAGGCUCGAUUAUGUAUUUACCUUGGCAUCCUCUGGAUCAGACCCUCUCCAAAAUGGUUAUAGGCAAUUGUCACUUGCAUUUGCUUGUCUCUUUCAUAAGAAUCA
rnacentral:lncRNA from 1 species